rnacentral:lncRNA from 1 species
GUUGAGUUUAUUUCCUGCUUUUUGGCUAUUCUUGCUCCCUUCUAUAGACUUAGUGGGUGGACCGAUGUUGUUUUGGGCGGUACCCACUGAGGACUACUUGUUUUUACAGUAGUUCUUACGCCCAGUUGUUACCUCUGUUUUGCAGAGCCAUAGGUUUCGGCUGCUGCGCCUUCCGCGGAUCAGGAUCGAGGCAAGGGCGUCGCGAGUUAGAGCCCUACCCGACGUGUUGAGCUAGAGGUGCCCCUACUGCAGGUAGAUGUUUUGUUUCGAGUUUAUGUACAUAGUGGACUUAACUCGUCAGUGCGAGUAGCUUUGUAUUUUGGAUUUGGACUAUGUAUAUGAAACUCAGUUUGUUUAGCUUCUGUUUUCUCUAACAGCUCUCUACUACUGUUCGUAGUAGUGUUUGAUUUACAGGUACAGCUAUCGCUUCGUAUACAGGGGAAAUUUCUUUGUAUACGGCGGAUUUGUCGGCGUGCCCGGGGAACGUGUAAUCUGGGGCGUGACAAUAUAUAUGUGUGUGUGUUUUCCCUUUGUUUUCUUCUAUAUACAUUCUCCUCCAACUUUGUCUAUAUAUAUGCAUGCUUUUUAANAUUUAAUAAUUGAUAUUUGUGGUCUUAAGAUCAAAAUUUAGUUGUUUCAUAUUUUUAGUUGAGAUCAUUUUUAAAAGAAUAAAUGACACGGAUAACAUAUUACCUCUCUCUAUCAAAAAAAAAGAAAGAAUAUUUACGUUUAUGUGAAAUGUUAUGUUAUUAUAUUUUUAUUAUUAAAUGUGAAAUUUUUUCUUUAAUAACAUACGCAUUCAUGGUUGCAAGUGAAGUUACAACUUCACUUAACUUGCAAUCAUUGUGAAAUUUAUAUUUACAACUAUGAGAUCUAACGUGUACAUAUACUAUUAAAACCGUUCCCUUUAAUCCUAUAACUCACAACCUAUGUAACCAACUGUUCUUUUUAAUCCUGAGAUAGGUACAACUCUUGGAAUAAGCAGGAAUAAAAUUAAUUUUGAGUUUGGAUGAAAACUGAAUUUUUCUCGGGAAUAAGAAAAAUAGCAUUUGGAUAGCUAGAUUAAAAUAGUAAGGAUAAGAAUAAUUAUAGUUUUAUCAAAAUAAUAGUGUACCUAAUUAAUUAAUACAAAAUAUUAAUUAAAUAAUAAUUCAACUUAUUUAAUUUACUAAUUAAUCGUGAAUAUUGCUAAAUAACCCAAAAUAUUAAUUUGUUUAAUUAAUUAGUAAUUAAUAAUUUAAUUAAUCACAAGUAAUUUAAUAAAUUAAUAAAUAAAUUAGUUAAUAACAAGCAGAGAGUUAAAUUAGUCAAAAUAUUAAUUACUUAAUCAAUAUAAAUAUUGAUUAUUGAAUAAGUACACUAAAUAAUUAAAUAUUUAAUUAGCAAAUUAAUUAAAAUAAUAAAUUAGUUACUCAAAUAGUUAAUUAAAAUAUUUAUUAGAGUAAUAAAUUAAGUAGUUAAUUAUUUAUCUAGUUGAUUAGCAAAUAAAUUAAUAUGUAAUACAUUAAUUAAAUAAUAUUUUAUUAUUAAUUUUGUAGAAGUAUAAGAAGAGGAAUUGUUGUUCCACCAUUUUGGUGGAGCAACAGUUCCACCUCUUAAUGGGUUAUCCUAGAAUAACCCAUUAAGAGGGGAAUUGGGAAAUUUUUAUUUUGUUUGGGGAUAAAGAUAUCAAAGAAAAUUUUUUUCACCUUGCAAGCUUGCCCUAUUCUCUGCAUGUAAGCGCUAUGUCAGCAACUGGCCGGCAUAAGUUGAGACACUGUGUUUAGACACGGUGAAUGGUUCACCGUGUUUAAACUAAAAUAACCGUGUAGCUAUUUGAGUUCUUUUGCAUUGUAGGAUUGGCUAUUGUUCAGCCCGUCCAAACACGGUGAAUGGUUCAUCGUAUUUAAACAUGGUGAAUCAUUUACAAUAUUCAACUUAAUCCUCUACAGCCGCUGACAUGAUGCUUACAUGUCGCUUGCGUGGCAGAGAUAUGAUCAUAUUUGUAAUUAUAAAUUUUGUAAGGCUAUUUGUGAAAAAAAUUAAGAGGAGGCUAAAUACAAAAAAAGCCUUUUAUUAGACUUAUAGAGAGGUCAAAGAAAAAUGUUCUUUUUUAUCGAGUUGUAAGCUCAUCUACUUGUGUAUAGUUGGUAAAGCCACAUGACGAGAAUCGAGCCACUGUAUUCUGGAGGGGACAAGUCAGUCUUCUCCUGCAUCGGUUCAAAGGUUUCGCCAAUCGCAGAAAGCUUGAAUCUUCUUAAAGAGAGCAAAAUUUUCAUGACUCGACUUGAUUCACUCGUCGACACUUUUUAUAUUAUUUUAUAGCCUAAUCUCUAUUUUUGCGUAUUUUCACCAACAUGUUCAUUUACUUAUGUUAAAUAUCAAAUAUUAAAAUUUUACUGUUCUUUGAUGGGGACUUAGGUCCGAAUCAUGCUAAAAGGCCAUUAUAAUUUAAGUUUUUAGAAUAAUUUAUUAUAGCACAAGUGGAUAACGGUCUGAGGUAUAAACUCAAUAGUAAUACUCAAAAAAAUUUUGAUAUACUUUUUUCUUAUAAAAAAGUAAUAUAAAUAUUCUCUGAACUUCAGUAGUUUUGCAAACAGACGUCUAAAAUUUUAAUGUAAUUAAACCUUCAAAACUUUAUUAAAAUAUAGUAGACCUCUCUCCUCGGCGAAAUUACUAUUUAAUCAGCUAUUUCACUCACAUGGCUUGCAUAUAAUUUUGUAAAAUUUUGAUAUAUAUAUAUAUAUAUAUAUAUAUAUAUAUAUAUAUAUAUAUAUAUAUAUAUAUAUAUAUAAGGUUGAGGCUAGAAUACUCUGCGAUAAGUAAACGGAGGAUUUUACUUAUCGAGUUAUUUCAAAUGAUAGAGCUUCCAAAUUGACCAUCGGACCUCCCGUUAAUAUAUGAAUUAAAGCAUUUAAACUACCUAGAAAUAAAUUCACCGCACUUUCGAUAUUUGUUCUUAUCCAUCUAGUGAACAGAAAAUGAAUGGUUUGAAAUGAAUAUUCUUUUAAAAAAUGACAGAUAGCAUCUUGUAAUCAAGAUCAAGAGUAUAGAUCUUGUUUUAAAUAGUUUAAAGAUUUUCUAACAAAAAUUGCAAUUGAAUUUGGAUAUCUUACACGACCGUUUAGAACGAGAACAAACGUCUCUUAUCCGCUCACGCAUUUAAAUUACAAAUUUUGAAACUCUUUGAUGCAUAGGCAAAUGAUGUCGAAAAGAUUGAAAUUUGAUUCUAAUAAUUUAAGUGUAUAGAUCAUGUUCAACGGAGCCGAUCUCAUAUUGGAAGCCUCUAUCAUCAAAAACAUCGAAGUAAAAGCCCCGUUUACUAGCGAGAGUACUUCUACUCUAGUCAACUAUAUAUAAUAUUAUUAUAUAUACAUAUAUAUAUAUAUAUUAAUAUAUAUAUAUAAUAUAUGUCCGGACUAUACUAUCCGUAGCACGGAAUCGCUCCAUGCUACCAAAUUGGUUUUUCUGAUGAUGGCGGCUUCCAAAUCGGCGAUCGGCUCCGUAGACUCUCAUUACAACUAAUUGAAAGUAUUUGGAAACUUAAAAUUCAGAUUUUUUCGACAUCAUUUGACUAGUGAUCAAAAGAUCUCAAAAUUGACAAUUUUAAUGGCCGAUGUGGUGUGUUUGAGAGUUUAACGAUAUAAAACAAUCCAAAUCUGAUGAAAAUUUUAUAGAAAAUUCUUUUAACUAUUUAGAGUAAGAUCAGUAUAUAUGAUCUUGAAUUUAAAUCUUUUAUCAUUAUUUUUUAUGAGAUUUUUAUUUUCAGCCGUUUAAUUUUAGACUACUUGUUUGAUAUGUAAAUGAUAUCGAAAAAUUAUGAAAUUUAGUUUAUAAAUACUUUUAAUAGUGUAGAUCAAGUCUAACGGAGCUGAUCGUCGAUUUGGAAGCCACAUUAUCAAAAACAACUUGGUAGCACGGAGCGCUCCGUGCUACCGAUAGUAUAGUAGCCUAGCUCUAUAUAUAUAUUUCAAAUUACGAUAAUCAAUUAUUAGGAUUGAAGAAUAGAAUAAGUAUAUCUUCAAUUUUUAUCCCUUUUUUUCAUGCAUUAGAAUAAAAGAAAUUAAAACUAUUUAUGUUUUAGAAAUUUACAAGAUUUACAACUAAAUUUGUAUGCUUUAAAAAUUGUUGAUUCAAGUUCAGAUCGAACAUUAUUUAGUCAUUAGAUGAACAGCCUACUGUCAGGGACUUAGAAAAACGCUAAGGCCGUGACACUACAAUAUGAAAUACUACAUAUGGCAGAGUCAUGUAGUAUGGAGAUACAUUCACAAGGCGAGGGGUAAGGUGGCUCUGGUCGUAGGCAAUUGGUACUAAAUUAGAGGAGUUACGGACGAAGGGUAUUUCACUUUUUAUUACUUUUGGGCUUUACUUAUUGCUACUCCCAUGUUUAAUUUAUAAUUACUUCCAGUGCAGAUAAAAAAAAAGGUAGAAAUUUGGGUAUAUGUUUUGAUGUCUGGAUAUUCUUUGUUCGUUAUCUUUCUUCUUUUAUAUAAUCUUUAACCCCCCAUUGGAUGCAGUUGUAACUAAAGUGAUUUUCACAAUAUGGUUAUAUACUUACAUAUAGUUUCUAAAAUCGCUCACUGCUAUUGUUGACAAAAAAAUGCUCAACUCGAUAUCCGACGCACUCUAGCCUCUAACUAGUCCACCUUUUGAUAUCCCUCCAAUUGAAGAUUGACUCUGACCACAUCUUUGGCACAUAUUAGAAAGGAAAUUACUCGAUCAGGUUCUUACUUCGCCCGAAGCGGGUUCAGCCUCAAGAUUUAUCUCGAGGCUUCAAGAGCUGGCCGAGUUGCAAAUUGUUUGGCCUCCCAAAUCUCAGCCAUUAGUUCGACUGAGGAUUGAGCGAUAAAAAUCACUGGGAUAAAUGAUUUCCAAGGUAGAGGAUUGCAGAUGAUGGAGGUAUGCAGCGUGGAAGACGUUCACUUGUGGUGGCUUGCUGAUAGUCAGAGUGGUUGUAAGCGAUCAGUACUGGAGAGGAUAGUUGAAACAUCCCUUAUAUAUAAUAUAUAAUAGGACAAAACUUUCUUAAUCUGGCUAUAGUAUUUUGGACAGAGGCUAGACCCAAGAGAUUAAAAGAAUUAAUCAUGUUAGGGCUAGAAUAGUUCUAUAAUAGGUAACCUACUGUUAAGCAGGGCAUUACAUUUCGUUUCAGAACCAAUUCACCAACUAAAAUGUGAGAUGGAUUUCACAUUGCCUUUUGAGCUUGGACUAUAUGUAUGAUUGGGCUAACGAGGAUAUUAAGAACUCCACGGAAGAGUCUGUGAUACCCUAAUAGUUCCCUAUUAGAUGUAAAUGAGAUUGUGAUUAGAAAUAUAACAAAUCAUGGACCUUAAUAAUAAUAACUGAGCUUAAUUAUUUUGGAACAGUAGUUGGACCUAAUGAGUUGAUUUUUUUUUUUUGAGAGAUAGGUAGAACGUUACUCGUUUCGUUUAUUUCAUUUAGAAAUAAACUUAGUUGGAAAUGUGAAUCAACUAGGAUUCGAACUUGGGACCUCGGGUACUAACCACCAAGUCCUUUGCCACUUGCUCUAGAGACGGUCGGUCUAAUAAGUUAAUAUUAUUAACAGGUAGAAUCGUUGUAGUAGGUUUCGAGCGGACCAUAAAAAGAUAAAAGGGUAGAAUUCCUGGUUGGUUAAUCCUCCGGUGUAACUGCAAUCAAGAUGAUAUUCCUGAGGCGGUUAUGUAUCGUUUUCUUGGAUUAUUCUUGGGGUUCAUGCCUACUUUUGUAUUUUUUAGCAUUCCAUUUUAAGUUUUUUUGACACUUAUCGUCCGAUCUCAAUUUUUUGUGUAUUUUUCUGCUAAUGAUUAUUUUGGCCGAUUAAUCUUCCAACAUGCUAGUUUCAACAAUUCUCGUUAUCAAAACCUUGGUCUAAAAUUUCUAAAAAAUUAGCCUUUUAUGAUCCAACCUUAUAUAUGAUAUACAAUAUAUCAGAUUUCGAACCAUUCUAUUCUAAAUUCGGCCGAAGCGUCCAUCCAGGAUAGAGUUUGGUAUAUAUAGUCCAUCUACAGAAGCUUAAAUCUUCGGCGAGUUCGUUCACAUCUUGAUAUUAAAAUUAGGUGUAAACAGAAGUUCAUUUGUCAAAAUACUAAAGUUAAAAUAGCCUUGGCACACGUUUUUUUUUUUUUUUUUUUUUUUAAAUAAAGUAGGGAAUAAAGUUGGGGUGGAGCUCCUUCGAAGCAACGCCACACGCGCGUACGGUCGUGGGCCAAAGCCCCCGCUGCGAACGUUCCGCGUCUUCAGAUCGCGUCCAGCGAAGUGAUUGGCUCCGCUUACGCAAUCGAAGAAGAAGACCACGCGCACGCCGACGCGCGCAAAUUACGCCCCCAUUCCCCUCGCUCGCCAAAUCCUCGCCUACGCGAAAUCUUUGCCUACACCGAGUGCGUGACUCCACUCCGUGAACCGUAUAGCAUUUUGAAGUAAAAAUGUAUAUAUUUUUUUUUAACAAAUACCAUUAAAAGAAUAAUAUAAAAAAUAUAAAAGAAAUGUUCUAUCAUUACCUAAACAUUAAAAAAAUUAGGAUAAACUUCAUAUACCAUUCUUGUGGUUUCGUACUUUCUCACUUUAGUAUCCUAUAGUUUAAAGUAUAUCAAGUUAGUGUCAUGCCGUUUUAUUUUUAUCUUUUCGUCAGCUUUUUCAUCAAUAUUUCGUUAAAUUAUAUACAAAAAACUUCAAAUACCCUAUCUAAGUUUAUUGAAUAUUCACUUUAGUACCCUUUGGUUUUAACUUUGUCACUAAACAAAAAAAAUUAGUGGGAUCGAUAAUAAAGUAAUAAAAAUGAAACCACAGAGCACUAAAUUGACACACUUUAAACUAUAGGGUAUUAAAAUGAGAAAGUGUGAAACCACAUAAGUGGUAUUUGAAGUUUUUCCAAAAAAUUACAAUAGAGGAAGGGCCAAUAUUUGACCGGGCAUGUUUAUUUUACCGAAAAUAAAAAAGGUAAAGUUGUUUUUUACUGUUAUGUUCAUUUUCGUCACUUGAUUUGUCAUAAAUUAAAUUCAUUCGUAAUUUUUUUUAAAAUAUCAUCAAAGUUAAUAACUUGAGAGAAAAAAAUUAAUUACUAUAACUUUUUACAUUCUCUAAUGUGUUAGCGUAAAAUUUUUUAGUAAAAUAAGUUUUAAAAAUAAGGUAAUUAUAAUUUUAAAUUAUUAAUUUUCUAACGCAAUACCAAAAACUAGUGACUAAGAUAUAAAACCACAAGGAAGAGAGAAGGAUAAACAACCUAUUCCGAUAGAGAAAAAUAAUCAAUAAACUUUAAAAAUCUUCUUCUGCAAUAAGUUUUGGACGUACUUAUAAUAAUAUUAAGAAAUCAAAAUCCUACUUUAAAUUAAAUUCUAAAAUUUUUAGCGAAUUUUUUAAUAAAAAUAUAUAAUCCUAAUUUAAAACUUUCAAAAUCUUAUUCUUAAUUUUUAGAAAUUUAUUUUUUAGAGAAAUCAUAAUCUAAAAAAAAUUGCUAAAACAAAAUUAUCAAAAAUAAAAAUUUUAAAAUUUUGAGUGCGUCAUUUUCUAUCGAACAAGCAAUAGUGAAAAAAAAAAUUCACCUAAAUUUUAAUUCAAAUAAAAGUAGUUUUCAACCUGGAAAUUAUUUAUAGAAAAACAACAGCCCAUAAUAGGAAGCAAUAUCAAAAUUUAUCAUUAUCAUUCUAUAUAUAAAUUAAAUUUAAAUUUGAAAAUCUCUAUUAUAAAUUUUAAAAGUGUUAUGCAACCAGAUGUACGUAUACACCAAAUUUUGUCCCCUUCGGGAGAACAUAUUCCACAAUUUCCCCCUCUCGCACCACUUGGAUCUCGAUUCCCCUCCUCCUUUUCCCUCUCCCUCUCCUUCUUUCUCUCUCCUCUCUCUCUCUCUCCUCUCCCUCUCAACGCUCCAUUUAUACCCUCCGAGCGAACCCGAUACACUCGCUUCGCCCAUCUCUUCAUUCCUAGGUACCGAUCUCUCGCUCUCGCUCUCUCUCUCUCUCUCUUUACGAAUCUAAUGUUGUUUCCGGUUCCUUUUUUAUCAACAUUUGGUGCAAUGAUACGAUUGUUUUGCGUUAGUGCUGGUGAUUUUGGUGGAUCUGGUGUUUCUGCGAUGUUCUUGUUGGUGGUGGAGUGAAUCUAGGGUCUUUCUUGUUUCAGAUCUGUUGAGAUUGUGGAGAAUGCGUUUUUUGUUACGAUUCUGACGGUUUCUUUUAUAAAAUUUUGCUUAGAUCUGGUGUUAGUUUGGUUUAAACGAUUUAGAUCCUUCCGAUUACGAAAAAAGUUGGAUUAGAAAAUUUUGGUAUUGGUAAAUUUCGAGACAUGAAUACUCGAUUUUGUGAGCACACAGUGUUCUUCAUGUCAGAUCUGCUUGUUUGGUAUUUUUUUUUAGUAGUUUCUUUCUCUAUAGCAUUUUAGUAAUGUUUGAUAUGAAGUUCUUUAUCUCUUUCUUUUCAAAGGGGAAAUUGGUAAUCUAACAUUCAGAUCUCAUCUUCCUUUGGAUUGGUUUUAAUUAAAAAUGCGCUGGAUCUGAUAUUAAAUCCUUAGAUACUAAAUUCCUCUGCAGCUUUGCCUUUCACAAACGUUGGAUCUUCCAGAAAACAUCUUUGGAUAUAUAAUAAUUGUCCUGGAAAUUGUAGAGCGCUUGUUUCUAUUGCUUGAAUGACCUGUAAUGAUGGAUGCAUGGCCAAGAUAUACACUUUAGUCUUAGUGCUUUCAAAAUUCGCUGACCCUGGUACAGUACGACAUGAAUCUGUACCAUUUACAUAGCUUCUGUGCACUUUCAUCACAGGUUGUUUUCUUUUUGUUGUUCAUGGAAUUUUGUGUUUAAGUUGAGGAUUAAACAAAGUUAGUUGGACUAAUGACGUUAUGGCUUGAUUAUCUCUUGCAUUUCCUGCAUUGCAGCGGUGAUAAUUUUGUGAUUCUGACGCCCAACCUUGCAUACAGUUGCAAAUGCAUAGAUGGACAUGUUAGUCUGCAUGUUUAUAUCAUCCUACAACUUGGUCAAUUGCUAUUAUACUGCCAGGUCAUAGGAGGAUGAAUGCAACUUAUUAAAGGGCAUUUUAGUGAUUGUAGAUUCUCUGAUUGAUUCUUAUUUAAUUGUAGUGUUGGACACCCUUGCCACUUAUUAAAUGGCAUUUUGGUGAAAUUAUAGCAUCAUAAUAAUUAAUAUAUUUCCUUCACCAGCUCAUACGCAAAGAUUACAUUAUUGACUAAAACAUUGUUUGUGGAAUUACGCUCAAUUUAUGUACUUUAUUUGCUUUGGGGCAAUUGCUUAUAUGCCCUUAUAAAGUUCUUGAUUUUUAUAUUUAGCUCUUUUAGAAGACUAAUAUAAAAACCGCCCUUCUAAAGUUCUGCUAUUCUAAAAAAAAUACCCUUGUAAAGUUCCAAACUCUUUCAAAUAUACCUCUAGAGUUAGAUUCUGUUAUUACAUCAUUAAAAAUAACCGUUAUCCCCUAUGAAAUGACUAUUUCCCAUUUAAAUACGCUUUUUAUUACUACUUACUUAUCUUAUUUGCCCCUACGUUUCUUAUUUGCCCUUAAACGGUUUUCUAAUUUUCUUAUUUGCCCUUACAACGGUCGUCUUCUUCCUCGAGGUGAAAAGAAAGAAGUUUCAUCUUCGCUGAAGAUGGAGUUUUUUCUUCUUCCCACUGUACCUCAUCCAUUAGUGCCUCCUAUUUAACCAAAAUCACGAAAUUGAGCUCUAAACAUAUAAAAAUCCAUUUCUAAUAAAAAAAUAAAAAUAAUAGGACCUUAUACAUGGAAUGGAUUAAAGGAUUCAUGUCACUUUCGUUAGAAGAUUAGAGAAAUGGAUUAUCAGAGGAAUUCGGCUAUUCUUCCUCGGUCAAGAAACUCCAAUUGAGCGGCUUCCAAUGCUCCGAUCCGAUUGGCGACACUGUGCUCGUCUCCUCCGCUGUUGGAUUUGGCUUCUUCUUCUGUCCCCUCCCCUUCCACUUCCAGCAAGAAGGGCCUCUGCCACAACCGCCACUGCUGUGCUGGAGUUGUCGCUGCCGAGGAUCCCAAAGAAGAGGAUCCGAUCGACAUGGAGAGAAGCCCUAGAGAGAAGGGGAACUGGGAGAGAUAGACUAGAAAAUUGGAUUAAAUAAGAAGGGGCAAAAAUAGUAUUUUACCUUUAUUUUAGCCUGAGUUGAGACAUAACCUGAGUUUAAUCCGAGAUGAACUAACAGAUGCGAAUAGUGAGGGUAGAUUUGAAUAACGGGGAAAGUUUAUAGGAGUAUUUUUGAAACAAAAAAUUUUUAGGGAUAAAUAAGACAUUUCUUAAUUUUUGAGGUUUUAGGCAAUUAUCCCAUUUGCUUUGAUAUAAGUCAAUUAUCUGAUUACUUUAACUCUUAUAUAGAAAAUCUAAAAAGCAAAAUUUCAUGUAUAGUUCCUCUCAGGUUAAAGAAUUUCUAAAGACUUUUGAGCAAUGGGACAUGUUGAAGCUGCUCCUGUUGUGACGAAUGAGGAAAAGGUGCUUUUAUGAUCUCAAUUUUUAUUUCUUCUUUUAUUUUAUUUCGCCGGAUGAUGCAUUUGCAGAGACACCUUUCUCACUUGAGAUCUCUCUCUGAUUCCUUAAUCACUAAUGUUAUAAAUAAUAUGUCAUGAAAUAGAUUAGAGCAAGUCAUAUAUUUACGUUAUAUAAUAGAUUGAAAUUUAAAAACAUAAAUUAAUAGAAAUGUGCAUAAAAAUUGUUUUUGUUUGCAGGAUGUUAGUGAAAGCCUCUUGGGCGACAAGAAAGUGACUGUUGUAUUUGUUUUAGGUGAGGCUUGUUUCACUUCAUGUCUCAGUGAAAUUUCUUACCAAUUGCAUGCCAUAAAAUAAUUCCAUGUCGAUAAUGUUACAACAUUUGUAGCAUAUAUCAGUAAAAUAACAAAAGAUCAACCUGUUCUUUAAAUCCUUCUAAAGUAAUAAUUGUUCCCAACUCAUGCUUCAAUCUACUCAUAUAUACCUGUAUUAACAGCAUGUUACAUGGGUAGGAAUGUGGCAUUUCGCUAACGAAAGAAACUUAGAAAGGAUGGCACAUGGUUGCACAUCUUAACAUUUAUGGAUUGUUUUUCCUUCAUUGUUGAUGUAGCAAAUCAGUGAAUCACAUGUGUAAUAUUGUAUUUCCAAGCAUAUUUUUGUUCUAGUUUUCUACCUUUUGUGAUGCUGUAUUGAUUUGGCAAGGCAGUAGUGUUGAAAAUUUUCAAUCAACUGCAGCACUUGAUGGCAUCAACAUUCCAAUCCCCAUGACAAGCACAACACACCACAUGUCAUACCCUGAAAAACAUAUGCAAGAUAUACAAAGAGACAAAAGCGAUUGCUAUAAUAAAUGAUUCUUCUGUUAAUGUUUCUACAGGUGGCCCUGGUAGUGGAAAGGGUACGCAGUGUGCCAAUAUUGUUCAGAACUUUGGAUUUACUCAUCUCAGCGCUGGCGAUCUUCUGCGUGCAGAAAUUAAGUCUGGUUCUGAGAACGGGUAUUUGACCUCUCUAAUGUUAUAAACAGCAGUGAUGGUAGAAUUUCUCAACAGUCCAAACUAAUCUAUAUCUAUUUUGCAAAAGAUAGAGCUCAUUCGCAGAAAACCUUGUUUAUAAUUUUAAGUGGCUUUAAAGUCAUUUGAAAAAUAACCCCUGCAUCAUGUGUUAUACAAUCUUUCUGCUUUGACAUUAAUGAUUGCUAUUAUUUCUACAGAACCAUGAUCCAGAACAUGAUAAAGGAGGGAAAAAUUGUUCCUUCUGAGGUAACAAUAAAGCUGUUACAACGGGCUAUGCUAGAAAGUGGAAAUGACAAAUUUCUCAUUGAUGGAUUUCCUAGAAAUGAGGAGAAUCGUGCUGCUUUUGAGAAUGUUGUAAGUCUGCAUACUUCUAUAUUUUCCUGACAUGUUAUGUGUAGCUACUACUACUCGUUGUACAAACAGUUUAAGUAUGUUCACCUUUUCAUUUUAAAGUCGAAUGCAAGAUUCUUAGUUGCUUCGUGCUGUUUCAGACAAAAAUAACGCCCGAGUUCGUUUUAUUCUUUGACUGUUCUGAGGAAGAGAUGGAGAAACGGCUUUUGAAUCGUAAUCAGGUUUGACUGCAUGUUUUUGUUUCAAUGUUUUUCACUUUCUCAUCACGUAGAAACACCAGUUUGUUUUUCUGACAUCUCAUUACUCUUGGCUACGUAGGGAAGAGAUGAUGAUAACAUUGAGACCAUCAGGAAGAGGUUCAAAGUUUUUGUGGAAUCUAGUUUACCUGUAGUGGAGUAUUACGAAUCAAAGGGCAAGGUUAAGAAGGUAUGCAACUUUGUCAGCGGUAAACGAAUUGAUGGAGUUGUAGAUACUACCUAUUUUGUAUGAGAAUUCUAUAUUAUGGCACUAGUUGUCUUACAAAUAUUCUGGGUUAUCCAUCAAUUUUAAAGUCAAAAUCUGGUAAUGCUUAUAACAUGUUCUAUUUUCAGUUUCAUGCAAUAUCUAACUGUGAUUUUAUGCAGAUUGAUGCCGCAAAGCCUAUCCCUGAGGUUUUUGAGGAUGUGAAAGCCAUUUUCUCCUCAUAUGGUGCAAAGGUAAGAUUAUUGUCUACUGUUAUACAUUCUUCAAUCACUAAAAAAUGAAUUGGUAGGUAUGCAUAUAUUUCUUCUGCUUAUCUGACAUGGUAGCUCAAACAUGCAAAAGUCAAAUCUAAGCGAAGAGAAAUGAAUGUUAUAGUGCUAUAAAUCAGAAAAUAAUGCCUAAGCUGUUUAUUCAAUUAAUUUCAUAUUGCAUCUGCUAAUUCACUUGAAUAUUUUGUAGGUAUUAUUUAAUUCCCAACAUAUUUUACCAGCAUUUUAUUACCGGCAUGUAUUUUAAUCAAUUCUUGAACCUUUAUGUUGCCUCUUUUUUUCUCCAUUUUCUAGCAGGCUAUGUAGAGUCACAAGAACGAUAGACAAUACCACAAAAUAAAGGUAGUUAUUUAUUUUUAUAUCUGUUGCUGAAAUUUCUUCUUCACAUAGCGAUUCUAUGAGAAUGCUUUAUUUGUCGGUGUUUUGAUCAUGUCAUUGUUAAUAUUGAUAUUAUCUGAUAUUUGACCAAGUUAGAAAAGUUGGAAUGCAAGGUAGAACACCGUCCUUUUGUAGUAGUAAUUAAACAGUUGGUUACUGCCCCUUUUUCAAACUGCUGGCUUUAGCAUAGGCUGAAAAUUCCCUAUAAAUUCAUUAUGAAAAUAAUCAGACAAGUAUAAAACCUUGAAAGUCUUUAGAGAAGGGUUCAAAAAGAAACCUAAAACGCAAUUAUAUUUUUCUAACUACACCUGAAAAUCUUUCAAUUGCAUAAAAGUUAUAUACUUAAGUUGGUUCAUAUGGCAUUGCUAAGGUGAUCUUCUUAUAGCUUGUGUUGGAUCUUACAUUCUUACAUGCCGAUUAAAUAGAUUAAAAAUCCAUCAGUAAAUUAAUCAAAUUUUAGUUUGCUCUUUUACCAUUGCUUUUAGUUGGCUAGCUGAACAUUCUUUUUAGCCUGAAUGGGAAAACCACCCUUGUACUUCAACAAUUUCAACCUUGCUCAAUUUGCAGAAAUAUAUAGAGAAAGUGGGAAAAGUGCAAAGGUGGUUUUGUAAUUUAGCCUCAUUUAUGCUUGCUUAAAAUUUAGGCAUUUCCGGGAGAUUCACAGUUUUGAUGGUUUCUUUUCCACUUUUAUGCAGUUUAUCAAAUUGCAAUGCGCCGAUGCGUGUAAAACUCACCAUGAUUUCUGAAAAUAUCUGCAGGUGUUUCUUCAGAAUGUGAACCGCGUGUGUCUAGAAUGGAGUUUGAUAUACCAAAAUAGAAGAGGGAGUCUUUAGUUCGUUGUAGCUGUUUUUUAUAGUUCAUACCAUCAGAUAAUUUAUUUUCCGGGGGUUAUGGUAAUAAUUUACUUGUAUACAUCUUAUGCUAGUUCUUUAGAGAUCUGGUGCAGCGUUGCUCAGCUCCGUCAGAUCCAUAUUUUUAAUAUGUGUUCUUAUCAUCUUAUUGAGUUGUACUCCGAUCCGUUUCAUCAAUAAAUGAUCGCCAGCCUCGUGUGGUUAUUAUGAAUCAUGUUGUGAUCUUAUAACGCAAAAACAUACUAUUGUAGCUCCAGUUAGGCUUAUUUCAUAUGCAAGAAUGAGAUCCUUUUUGUAAGGAUACUAUGUUACUUUUGUGUUUUCAAACAAAAUCGACACUGGAGCAUCAACAAUCACCAAGUAGCCCACUGCAGUGCAACCUUUGCUGCUGCCCCUGCCGCUGCAACGGCUGAUGGAUGGUAACUACGCCACCACCUGGGUGAUGCUGGUGCAGGGUUCGCUCUGAUCUGAUCUGACAAAUCUUUUGUUUAAACUGUGCUCACCUAGUAACUUCAUGAGUCGUGACCUAUCUUGAACCUAUUUGUUUUAUCGAAGUUGAUGUUCGGAUUGAAGUAGAUUAUUAUGUAAACUAGAGUUGUAGUAAAAAUUAUCUUUUUUUUUUGCUAUUUGUUCCUAUAGUUGUGGAAUAGUUGUGGAAUUGAAGUUUUUUAGUUGUGUUAUUUAUUUGAUAGAAAGUGAAUGAUGUAGAAGCUGAAGUUUUCAGUCGUUAGUAUUUUAUUAGUUUUUUUUUGUUUUUUUUUUUUUUCCCGGUGAGCACAUGUGAAAUGACAAGAAGUAAAUAGGUGCUACCCACUUCAUUUAUUUUAUUUAAAAAUAAAUUUAGCUAAAAAUAUGAAUCAACUAAGAUUCGAACUUGGAACCUCGGGUACCAACCAUCAAGCUCUUUGCCAGUUGCUCUAGGGACAGUCAGUGGCAAGAAGUAAAUCAUUAGUAACAGCCGGAGAUUGCUUCAACCCCCAACGUAAACAAUUUGAUAUUCUGCUCUAUAUUUGGUACCUAUCUCUCAAUUCUGAUGGUUGGUACUCGAGGUCUCAAGUUCGAAUCCUAGUUGAUUUACAUUUCCAACUAAGUUUAUUUCUAAAUAAAAUAAACGAAGCGGGUAGCGUGCUACCUAUCUCUCUAAAAAAAAGAAGAUAUUCUACUCUUUGUUCAGCCGACUAAUGCUUUUGUCGAAUAAUUUUGAUUUGGAAAAGGUAAUAAUAUUUCAAGAACGAAAAUUAGAAGUAAGCGUGGAAUGAAAAACAUCAUACACAAUAAAUUUUAGCAUCUUAUUAUAAAAUCUUCACUCGCCCCCACUAACCCUCCUCACAUGCGCAGAAGAUACCAGCACUUGAAAUGCAGAAUUUGUCAAACUUAAGGCUUAAGGGUAGCGCUCUAAAAGAAAGAAAAGCCGCAAAAUCAAGAGGAUCUAUACUAACCCUUAUUUUCUACCAACAUUAGGAGCAAAUGUAUGUAAUCUAAUUUAUGAGUAACUGUAAUGCAAUUCCUUUAUCUUCCACAAAGCCGUCCACCAUUAGCCACCCACGACCAUCCUGUUCAUUCUUGGAACCAUCUGGUUCCUUUGCACGUGAACAUACCUUCACGCUGCAUGCGCGCCUUUGCCAUGUGCAAUGUUUGACGUCGCAAGUCGUCUCAUCAUCAAGCAGUCAAGUGAAGCUCGAUCUUGACUUGGAUCAGCAACUGAGAUCUGAGAGACCAACCGUGUAAGGUUCCCCCAUAAUCUAAGGUUUAGUGUCGCUUGCUCAAAAACCAUCCCGCUCGGCCUCUUGCUGAAGCCUAGAUCUUCGAGUAGUGUACAGGAAACGCGAUCAGAUAGUUCCCUCUCUAAUAUGCAUCUGAGAUAAAAUCGCAUUGCCUUCAAUCGAGCAAUUCCCUCUUCGUCUUCAUUCUUCUCGCCAUUCCUUCCUCGCUAGCUCUCUCCUUUCCCUUUCUCUCUCUCCUCUCGUUUCCUUCUCCUUUUCCUCCACCGCCCCUACGACGACACCACACUUAUCUAUCGUAUCUCGCCCACACCUCCACUAAUGCUUGCGAUGGUAACAUAGGCUCGGAUAUGGCAUAGAUUGCUUUCCUCCUUGCUGUUCCUUGCUCUCUUUCUCCUUCCGCUUCCUCUCAUCCUUCCUCCUCCUCCUCCUCCUUCUCCAUUGCCCCUAUGUUGACACUACGCUCUUUUCUUCUACCUCGCCUAUAUCUCGGCGGACGUUUCAGCAGCGGGGGUGGUGGUGGCAGCGACGCAAGCUCAGAUAUGGCAAAGAUCAUGAAAAUGAGGUUGUGGUGAAGAGCGCGGUUGUGGACAACAACAUUGAAGAGGGUGCUAUAGGAUUUGAGGACAACGGGGAGGGAAAGCGCGUAGGGGUGGGGGCUGCUGCGGUAGAGGAUGAGAAAGGGGAUGCAGUAGUGAAGAAGGAUGCAAAGGAUGGAAUAAGAAAAAAGGAAAGAAGAAAAAGAAAAAAUAUAUAUAUGUACAGUUUUCUUCUCCUAUGAAAGCUACUACCUGUCACGGCCGCCAUAGGAAAAGUCAUGAAGUAGAGAAGAAAGAAGAUAAAGAAGAAGUUACACUAUUUGAGAGUAAAUUAUACUGUUUAAGACUAAGUUGUACUAUUUAAAAUUAUUUGAGAUUAAGUUGCAUUACAAAAUAUAAAGUUCCACCGUUUGCGACUAAGUUACAUUAUUUUAGACUUAAGUUGUACUAUUUGAGAAGUGGUAACUUAGUUUCAAAUAGUUUAAAUGGUACAACUUAAGUCUCAAAUAGUGUAAUUUUUAUCCAAACGUUAUUUUUCUUAUUUUUGAGAAUAAUUAAAUUUUCAUCCAAAUGCAAAGUUGGUUUAGUUCUUGUUUAUAUCUAAAGUUGUAUCUACCUCUGAAAUAAGCAGUUCUUAUUUAUAUCCGAACCAAUCGAAGCCUUUGAGUUUUUACAUUGAAAAAAGCUUUACAAGAUAAGUACAAAAUAUUGGCCUCUAGAUGAAAGAAUAUAAGAUUUACACCCCAUUUUUAAAUAUAUAAAGAUAGCAUUGCUCAAACCCAAAAAAAUUUUGUGGAACAUGUGUAAAAUAUAUAUCUAUAUAUGCAGAGUGCACAUGUUAUGUACAUUUCUCUUUUAGUAUAUAAAAAAAAAUCUUUUAGUAUAAUGGUAAUACUAUCUGUACAUCUAAAAAGAUAUUACAAAUCUUACACUCUCUAAUCCAAGUGCUCAUAUUGGGUCCUCAUCUUGCCCCUUUUUUCAGUACUAAAAAUCUAAAAGAAUNUAAAAAAAAAUCUUUUAGUAUAAUGGUAAUACUAUCUGUACAUCUAAAAAGAUAUUACAAAUCUUACACUCUCUAAUCCAAGUGCUCAUAUUGGGUCCUCAUCUUGCCCCUUUUUUCAGUACUAAAAAUCUAAAAGAAUUCUAAAUACUAAGAGGAAGGGUUAUAAGAUUACAACUUUUUUUUUUAAAGUGUAUAAAUAAUUAACAUUUUCCUCAGUAAAAAUAGCACAGAAGAAUAUUACUCAUUUAUUAUCUAUAUAUGUAGUUCCAGUAUAAAUGACAACAUUUAACUGCAAGAUAUUAUUUUUAUAUGAAAUUCCUAUUACAUACAAGUUAGUUACAUAGAAUCAGUAUCCUAACCACUUCACCAAAACAUCCUCCUUCUAUGCUUAGUAAAAGCCAACCAAAAAACCACAACAUUUGCUCUCCUUUGACAAGACAAUGACCUCCCAACCCUACAUUCUCUCUACCAAAACAUACUGAAAAUAGCAUAUUCAUGUUCUUAAAACCAUCCCAACUCAACCCUUGUUGUUACAUAACUAAAAAAGAACCCCCAAAAAAAAGCACUUAAACCGUUUGUAGGCGCCUUAUAUUAACCUCUCAAUAUAUAGCUCUUUCCAAAAGCACCACUUACAUAUAUUCUCUUUCUCCUCCUCUCAUUUUUUUUCCACCUCCCAUUAUUUCUUCCUCUCCCUCUCUCUCUCUCUCUCCCUCUCUCUUUGGCUCGGGUGCAAAUGAGGCCACAAUUUCGAACGUUGCAUGUCUUCUUCCUCGUGUGGUUGGCGCUCUCCGUCGACGGCCACCGACGCCUCGUCGCCGGUGGCGGUUCAUACAACUACAAGGAAGCGCUUACGAAGUCGAUAUUGUUUCUCGAGGCGCAGCGAUCAGGGAAGCUCCCGCCGAACUCCAGGAUCCCUUGGCGCGGCGAUUCGGCGCUCGACGAUGGAAAGCUUGCCAAUGUACGUUAUAGGUUGAGUAUAAGAUAUUAAAAAUAUCAGGGUUUUUUUUUCGACGACUUAAACUUUUAGAGAUAAACAGUUGUUUUCUAUUUGUCUAUUAUUCCUUCAUAAAAUGAAGGAUAUUAAAUACAAAAUAUCAAAAAAUAUGUGUAUAUAUAUAUAUAUAACAUCAUGCAAAUUUUGUCACCUUAAGUUUAGCUUUUAGAGAUUCGAAAUGUAUAUUCCAUGACAUUUUUUGCAUGGUUCUCGAAACAGCUUUUGCUCUUAUGUUAUUCCAAUUAACACAUGCAUGUUAUCGUAACAUGAGAUUUUGAGUUUAAAUUUUUUAGCCUUUUAGUUUUUUAUUUUCUUUUUAUUUACUUAGAUUUAUUAUUAUCUAAAAGAGUUCAAUCUAAUAGAAAAGAAAUCUAGCGGCCGUCUUAAGACCCCCUUUCCUCCUCUCAAAAAAAUUGUAAUAGGAAACAUGUCAGAAAUAGUCUUAACACUUUCAUUCACAUGCAUGGUGGAUAUCAGAUGACUCAUGUCAUAUGUACUGUUAAAAAGACACCGAAAAAGACAUGCAAUGUAAUGAUAGACAAAACUAUAUAUUUUUCACAAAUUGGUAAACGUGAAAAUCAAACUAGCUCUAAUACCAUCUUAUCCAAAAAAAUCAAUCUAAUAAAAUGAUGCUCAAAAUUAUGUUUUAAAAUUUAUGUCCUAAAUCUAUAUAUAGUAACCCACACAUAAAAAAAAACUAUUAUUAUAACUUAUUAAAAUAACAUGCUUGGGUAUUAUCUCUUUAAGUUUUUAGAGUCUUCUUAUUAUUAUUAUAACUAUUUUUCCUUUAAUGUGGAUCAAUGUACAUGUAUAUAUACAUAUGUAGGUGGAUCUUGUAGGAGGGUACUAUGAUGCAGGAGAUAAUGUUAAGUAUGGUUUACCCAUGGCCUUCACCAUUACGAGCCUCGCGUGGACGGCGCUUGCAUAUAAAUCCGAGCUACAAUCCACCGGAGAGCUCAAGAACGUGUACGCCGCGAUUCGCUGGGGCACGGACUACUUCCUCAAGGCCAGUUCCAAGAAAAAUCGCUUGUGGGUUCAGGUGAGAUGAUCAGUCACCUAAAAGAUCGAUCUAGUAAAAAAUGAGUUAGAAAUGUUAAAUAUAAAAAUAUUUAAACACCGUUAUCUAACAGCUUAAGCUUUUAGAGUACAACGGUUGUUUUACAUAGGAGGUCCUGAAUUCGAGUCACGCCAGACUCCUAACAUAUUAAUUUCCUCCAAUUUAAUUCAAGCCCACGUCAUGGCCGAUUAAAAAGUCUUGAGGCUAGACGUGAGGGUUUUUUAGAGUACAACGGUUGUUUUACAAUAAAUAUAUAUAUAUAUAUAUAUAUAUAUAUAUAUAUAUAUAUAUAUAUUAAUUCUAUGUGCUAAAUUCUGAUUGGAGUUAUAGCUAGGUUAGAGCACGUUGCAUGAAAACGUACACGAUAAUAUAAAGAAUUUCGUUUGUUUCCUUAUGUGCAUGGUAAUGUACAUGUUCUGUAAAUCUUAAUAAAAUUUGGGCCAAGUAGUGUUAAUUAGAUGGUAAUUAUUAUCAAAUAAUUUUGUAGGAUAUGUUUUAGUACUUCUGAGUUUUAUUGUAGAGUCAUAAUAUAUUGUAGUAAAAAAAAAGAAAGGGAAAAAAAUUACAGAGAUAUACAACAUCGAGCUCUUUUUAUUUUUACAACAAAUUUACAGUGUUUUGAGGGUUUUUUUUUUUUUUCCUUUUGUAUUUUGAUACCCUGAAAGAAACCAUCUAAUCACCCAUACAAAUAAAAAUUAACACUGUUUUUUAGAAAACAACAAAAAAUACAUUGAUGCUAUGAAAUUCCGGAGAAUCUGAACAGGCUCUUAUAGUAUAAAGUAUUUUCUUAAGAAAUUUCUUUUGCGUAUGUAAUUUAAUUUGGAAGGACAUUAAUAUCAAUGUAGCUGUUUUUUCUAUAUACAGUGCAAAAAAGGAAUUAAUAUAAUCACUAUAUAUGUUUUGUAGAUACAAUUCUCUUUCCACAAGAAAUUUAACAUUGUGUUUGCAAUAAUAGUUAAUCUCCCAUUAAAGCAAUUUUUUCAAUUGGCAUAUGAUAUGAACCAAGGAUAUUGAUGGGGCAAAUUAUAUAUGCCUUUUCCAUUAAAAAUCAAUGUUAUUGAGUCAAGCACUCUAAACUUUUGUGUAACUAUAAACUCAAAGUUUAAAAUGAGGGAAAAAGAGAAACUUCAUAAACAGUUUCUCUAUUUCAAUCCAUGAUCUAACUCUAUUUUCCGUCUAUUUAGACAGAUUAAUUAUCAUUAGUACGUGACCAUUUUGAUCUUUAAAUAUUCGAACUUCUCUUCGUGUGCGCCUAAAGUUUAGGAUCAUUUGUUUAGUAAGAAAAAGUGUUUAAAAAUGUGAAUACACAAAUUAUCAUCUUUACAUAAACCUAAAAGGUGGGACUCAAAACUCUUUUUUAAUAAAAUACACAAGCAGAGGUUCGAGUUCUCGACGAUCUUUAUAAAAGUCCCAACAAAAUAGUAGGGAUUGUUUCAAAUGGAUAGAUAUUCUUUUAGCUCUUUUUUAAUGCCUUAGAUUAUAUAACAAGAGUUUUUUUUUCAUUUUUUUUUUUUUUUGGUGUAUUUGGUGCAAGAUAUGAUUCGACUUCUCACUUUUUUAGAAGAGAAUUAAUUAGGCAAAUCACCUAGGAAAAUUAACUAAUAUCUUUCCAACAUAAAUUAAGAUGGCAAUUUGUAACUAAUACUACUGUUGCCCAAAAUAAGGUUGGAGAUCCAGUAGCAGAUCAUCAGUGCUGGGUGCGCCCUGAGAACAUGAAGACUCCGAGAACACUUUACAAGAUAGACCAGAGCACGCCGGGGACGGAGAUCGCCGCCGAGACGGCCGCUGCCAUGGCCGCUUCUUCGAUCGUUUUCAGGGAUAGCGAUCGCAAAUACGCUCGCCGGCUCUUGAACAAAGCCAAGUUGGUGAGAAACAUUUAGCGUCUCCAUCUACGUACCUUCAUUCGACUCUAUUUUCGCAGAAUCAGGCUCAGGUUGCAGCGCACUAACGAACAAAGUUGAAAGUUCAAUUUCAAUAGCACCUUAGGUGAAAUAAUGAACUAUUGAGAUUGAGCGUUUCAAUCCUUAUUCUACACUAUGAGAAGUUUAGCUAACGACGAAUAAUAAGCUUUUCCGAACACUGCCUCAAUUGUUUAUAAAUAAAUGAAAAGAAUAUUAACUAAUAGUAUGAAUGGUGAAACAAAAUUUGAAUCACUAUACAAGAAAAAGAAAAUUAAAAAUAACAAGCGCUAAAACCGAGUGCCCAGUAUUUAAUUUGUUAGUGUGUCCUUUAUCUGUACUGAACUCUCAGCCAAAGUAUUACUAUCUGGUUUUCUGAAUCUUUGUUUUCUUUUCUUUGAAAUUGAGCAUAUCUAAAGCUCGCUCUUAUAUGUUUUCCUUCAUCAUUGAUUUCCUUUUUUCCUUUUUCCCUAUUAUGAUAUUCGUGGACAGCUCUUUGAGUUUGCUAGAAACUACAAAGGAACAUAUGAUGGAGAAUGCCCAUUCUAUUGCUCCUACUCUGGCUACAAUGUACUCUCUCUCUCUCUCUCUCUCUCUCUCUCUCUCUCUCUCUCUCUCUCUCUACACUUGUGUUCUUGAUACAUAUAUAUGACAACAAUGCAGGAUGAGUUGUUAUGGGCUGCUUCAUGGCUAUAUCUAGCAACAAAGAGGCAGAAUUACUUCAAAUAUAUCACUGAAGAAGCUGUAACUGCAAGUGUUGCUGAGUUCAGCUGGGAUCUUAAAUAUGCUGGUGUCCAAGUUCUCCUCUCAGAUGUGAGAAUAUUAAUCUUUUGAUCACUACUUAGCAUCAUUUGCUCCGCUUCUGCUUCUAUUUUAAGCUACAGUAUUUACUACCCCCGGUGUGGAGCGUUUGAUAAAUAAAAAAGUUUAAAGCAUUAAUUAGAAAAUACUAGACAAUUGAAUGAUGUUAAUUUUGAGGGCUCAGUUAAUUUGAUUUGACACAUGAUAUUUGCAAGCUAUUGCAGCUGCAUCUAACAGGGGAGGGUGGUCUCCAGAAUUUCAAGACACAAGCUGACAACUUUGUCUGUGCCAUACUACCAGAUAGUCCCUUCCAUCAAGUGUAUAUUUCCCCGGGUUAGUUCACUUGAAUGAGAAACUAUUAUCUAACUAGGUAAAAACUUAUAAAAUUUAUCAGAAUUAUAGACCAUUUUGAAAUGGUUGUUUAACCUUUCAAAAUUUUAAUUUUACUAUUCAAUUUUUCAAUUUGUUUUAUUUGAAUUAGUUAACGACACUUUGGCUUUAAAAUUUUAGCUAAUUACUUAUUUUAAUAAAUUUAUAGUAAUCAAACAAAUUGAAAGGUUGGAUAGUAAAAUCAAAAAUUUUAAAAAAUUGAAUAGUCAAGUCAAGUUCUGUACGUUUUUACCUACUAUCUAUUGCAGUUAUUUUUGAUAAAAAUGUCAACAUGAAUCAAAGAUGGUCUCUAUAUUACACAAAAAAUAUACAAAUAAUUUUUUUUUUAUCUACGUACAAUUUAUUCUAUUAUUCUUGAUUAGAUCUUUUAUAAUUUUACAUGGCACAAUAUGAUUAGCGUGGUGCGUUUCCAUGUAGAAUACCUGUUAUAUAUAUAGAAGAUGCUUCAGAAUUAAAUCUUGUACUAAUUGAAUUGUUACAUGGACAAAUAAGUAUGUGAGAACCUUAUAGCUUCUUUACAUCGAAAGGCAUAUUGGAAGGAAUAAUUUUCUAGUACUGGAACUUAACAAUUGUGAAUCUUGUUACUAGGCCUACUUAAUUAUGAAAAAAAAAAAUCAAAUAAAAAUUUCGAAAUAGUCCAAAGUUCACAAUAGUUCUUUUUGUUUCUACUAUCGAAAGGCCAAAAAUUUUAGUGUUCUUUCAAUAUUCUCUUCUCUCAUAGUAUAAAAUUAUAGUGGCAACUACUAUAGAAGAAGCAUAUAUAUAUAUAUAAGUACAUACUCCUUCGGUGGCAGUUAUUAUUAUAAUUUUAUACCAAAAGAAAUUAAAAACAGAUAUUUUUAAUCACUAUAUUACAAAACUAGACGUAAAUCAAUCGGGGAUAUGGAGGAUUCCUCCAAAGAGGGUGCUGAGUAAUGCGAAGUUUAUUUCAGGGGGAAUGAUUCAUCUAAGAGAUGGAGCGAACACCCAGUAUGUUACGGGCACCGCGUUCCUGUUCUUUUUGUACAGUGACAUUCUCAUCAAGAACCAUGAAACAGUCACAUGUGGGCAACAAGUGAUUCAACCUACUCGCCUCAGGGAAUUCGCCAAGCAACAGGUAAAUAUAUAUAUAAGUCCCCCUUAAUUUCACUGUAAUUUUUGUUUUUAUCAUUUGCGAGUGCCCAUUAAUUAAACUCCUUUUAAUUAAAGAGUUUUGCUCCUCAAUUAAUGAUAUUAAUCCCAAAACGAUUAGAAAUAAAACCUCUCUUUGGUUUGGGAGUUUUUAACAGGGUACAGAGUUCGAAUACACCACCAUUGUUUCGAAUCAUGAAUUCAAAUUUUGAGUCGCUUGCUAGUUGCGCCUAAUAUGCGCAUUAUUAUGGAAUUUACGGAACAUGCUAAUUAAUGGUACCUAAUACAACUUAAGAGGAAGUUCUACAAGCCUUAGUCUCAGAUCAAUAAAACUCUAAAAAAGGCAAGAUCCUAUUCUGUAUAUAAAAAUGGCUGAAUUAUAAUUACACUACACAGUACUUUACAUUCCUUUUUUUUUUUACUUUCUAUUAUGUACUAUUUUUUUUCUAAGGCACCUUUCAACUACCUUUAUUAUGGGGUACCUUAAUUGGAGUUCCCCAUAAUAUUGUAGAUCACAUGGCAUCAUCAUUAUUAUAUUAUAAACAUCAUUACUAAAUCCCUAACUUCAUCACUAAACUCUAAAUACCAUUAUUGCACCCUAAACUAUAAUCUCGAUCUAAACCCUUCACAUCUAUCUAUAUCUAUAUCUAUACAUUUAUCUAUACAUAUAUAUUAUUUCUUCUAAAAUUGCAACAUGGCAAUUUUUCCUUCAUGGUGAGUGUGGACUCUAUCUCGAACCAGCUCAAGCAGUCCUUCAUCUUCCUCUUCCUUCGACUAUUAUCUUCAUUCAUUAGUAAGAUGAAUCUCAUUCCUUAUCAUUGUUUUUUUCAUCUCCUUUUUUUUUUGUCGACGUUUUUUAUUUUUUUUAAUUAUUUAUCUGCCGUAUCGCGCGGAUUACUACAGUAUUAUACAUUCCAACACAUCAACAAUAUUAUAGUGUGUUUGGGAUACAUCAAGCAUUUUUUUUUUUUCAAUAUCUACAGUAUAAAUAAUAAAUCUAUAAUUUUUAGAUGAAAUUUGUUAAAAUAAAUACUGAUUUAAAGUGGCAGAACAUAUAUAUAUAUAUAUAUCUAGCUAGUUUUGACACAAAAAAAUAAUUAAAUACAGAAAAAAAUAGUUAAAAAUAAUUUGAUAGAAGCUUUCAAUGGAUUUAUCAUGAAGAUUCAUUUUAUAUUUUUUUCUACUAUUUAACUAGCGCCUUUUAAUAAAGUUGUCAAAUUUUAUCUAAAACAAGAGAUUUGUUAAUGAUAACGUAUAGAUUGGUGAGAAAAAAUUAAUCUAGUAGUAUCUGUGAAAAAACAAUUGUACAAAGUAGAAAAUGAAAAUAAAUAUAAAAUAUAGUGUAGAAAUUGAUAGAUAAAAUAGAAUAAUACAAUGGUGUUUUUGAAAAAAAAAAAAAAUGUAUUACUUAGCAAGUAAAGUAAAAAUAAUACCAAACUAUAGUGUGAUAUAUCGGAUGUAAUCUUCAUGACCUAUUGGAUAAACUUUUGAGUUAGUGAUAUAAAAACCAUAUAUACCUACUGUCUCCGAGUUUAAAUUUCUAAUAUUUCAAUGUGAGGUAAUAAGAUAUAAAUAAUGGUGCUGUAUUCUUUGAAUUAUAAACUAUAUAUUAUGAAUAUAUUAUAUAUAUAUAUAUGCAUAUAUAUGCCCUAAUCACGUUAAACCCUAAUAUUGGGUUAUCAUCUAUAUAUAUAUAUAUAUACGUGCAUGGGCAGAUGGACUACCUUCUUGGGAGCAACCCUAGGGCCCGGUCGUACAUGGUGGGGUUCGGAGCCAGCCCUCCGACGGAGCCGCACCACCGCGGAGCGUCGGUGCCGGUGGUCCAGCUCCAGGAGGACGUCGACUGCGGCAUGAGCUUCACCAAGUGGUACGACCGGGACCAGCCGAACCCGAACGAGCUCACGGGGGCCAUCGUCGGCGGUCCCGACAGCUACGACAACUUCGACGACAAGCGGUCGGACUCCUCCAAGCUCGAGCCCACCACCUACAUCAACUCCCUCGCCGUCGGCCCCCUCGCCAAGCUCGCCGCGCACGCCUUCUGACAACGCAGCGAGAUCGAUCGGACGUGCCAGAUGCAUGAAAAUGCAUGGGAUCUUCGGCCUGGCGCCUGCGUGUCGGCCGAGAAAUUAAUAAUAUAUAUGCCUGGACCCGGUCCACCAUUUUCAGCUGUAGUCUGUAGACGAGCUUAUAUAUUAAUUCGUCGAUUAUUUAUUUCAUCUCUACUAUCAAUCUUUUUUUUUUUUUUUUUUUUUCUAGAAAGAAGCACGAUUAUCAAAUCUAGAAAAGAUUCUGGUGAUCACUACUAAAAUAAGAGAUGGAAUAAAUAUUUACGUUGGUGUAGCAGUUCACAGAUGACAUGGUGGACCAAGUAGAGGCAAUUAUUUCUGUCGUUCCAGUGGAUGCAUAAUAUAAUUGCCAAGAAUCGACAGCGCAGUAAACCUUAUCCUUAUACAUUAUGUAUAUGUAUGCAUAUGAAAGAAGAGUUCAGCUGUAAUACUACCGACAGUAAAGAAAUAGGUAUUGUUAUCCACGUGUUAGCACGUGCUUGAAUCCAUAUAAAAACCAAAUACAAUUCUAGUUUUUCUCUAUAAAAACAUAUACAUAUAAAAACCAAGAUCACAAUGAUGAACACUGACACUACCAGAGCACGAUUUGAGUUUAAAACUAGCAACGCAUUUGUACAUGAAUUUGGCCGAGAAAAACGGACGCAAGAAAUCAAAAGAAGCAGAUCGAAAGAGUUUAAAUUAAAAAAAAUUAAUAAAUAUAAACUCCAACACCUUGAUAGAUGAAUGAAUACAAAAAAUUAACAUGAAGAAACAGGUUCCUUACAUGCAAAUUUGUACUGCAAAGGGAGUGAAAGCCUAAGAUCUUAUUGUAGAAGGGAAAACGAUGAGCUGUAUUACUGAUUGAACUGCUAUCUCCCUAUCAAACUGGAAAAUUUCAAUAACGGUAAUGCUGUGCAUAUGUAAGAAGGCACAGAGAGUACAUCAGAUGAGUCAACUUUGCAUAUAAAACUGAUAGUAUCAUAUUACCAUCGAAUCACUAACAGCAAUGCACAAUCAUAUUCAAACCAUAAGAUCAUAAUCGAAGAAUAUACAUCAGCUAUCAAUUAACAUUAAUUCCUAUAUUUCUGACUUUCAGUUCCAUCUACUCCUACAACAACGUCAAUAAUCAUCAUAUUAUUCACCGAACACAGACAAGACUACUAUCAUAAAUCAGAUAUCCAGACCAAUGUUGCUUUCUUUUCACACAAAACCACCAAUACCAGGCAAGUAUAGAUGUACGUGAAGUCGAAGUCGUAAAGCUCUUACUCUGUUGGCAACCAUUAAAUAUGAUAAAAACACAAUAGGAGCAGUAAAAUGAAUCCCCGGACUUUCAGGCCUCUUUCCUUGUUAUCCUGUCAUCGGACAAAAAGGCUCUCAGAUAAUGUAAUUUCUCUGACACAAAAAAAAGAAUCGUAUACCAGGAUCUAGCAAACCUGAAGCAGUAGAUUCCAAGAGCAUUUGUGAUUUCGUGGAUGACAGAAGUAGCAAAAUGCAGGUAGAGACCCACUGUUCCCAAUAAAUAUGUAAGAUACUAAUAGAGAAUAAAAGCAUUAACAAGGCAAUUAAAUACAAAGACAAGGAUUCAUGGUAACAAAACUCAUUUCAGUACUUAGAAUUAUAGGUCCGUCUCUCCAAUUGUAAUAGAAGUACAAUAGAAAGGAACUUUUUACCCAAAUUAAUUUUCAUAAAACCAAAACCAUCAGAAAAAAAGUGUUCCACUAUGGGGAUCCAAAUUUUAGCCAAAUGAGUGUGCUUAGAGGAAUUAAUUUACCAGAAAGAAAUUUAACCAACACAACCACAAACAUGGGGACAAUAUCCUCUGAAGAUUUAUGAACAAUAAAUUUACCAGCAUAUAAGCAGUACAGAAGAAGAACUAAAUGCUCAUCAACCAGAGGAACUCUGCAGCCAACGAAAACAGAAGAGUCACCAUAUAUAAAGAAUUGCAUGUAUUCAUCACCGAUACUGUUUUAAAGUAACCGAUACACAUACCCAUCAUUGAGCAUAGCAGUUAGAGCAUUCGCAAUAGCAAAAGGAAGAUACAGCAGAGACUGAGAAAGAACGCAGUUGGUCAAUAUUUCAUACCACUCAAACAAGUCAAAUAGAAAUGAGUGCAAUUGGAGCAAAAAACUGUGGAAAAUAAAACCGAGAGGUUUACAAAGAUAGGUACCAUGCACAUUCCAGUUUUUAAACCCUUUGGUUCAUCACAAAGGUGAGCCAGUAUCAUUCUUCCCUGUCCAGGACUCCAAGUUAGUGUUCUAUGUAAAGAACAUCCGAAAACGAAGCACUUGUAACAAUAAGAUAGCCAAGAAAGUUACUAUGCUAUUUUAAUUGUCUUACCACUAGAAACCCAAAUGUAAAACCAGUUCCAACUACAAGCAAAUGUGGGUGAUUCCGCAUAAUAUCUGAAGGUGACAGAUAAGCCCUGCACCAUGAUUAAAAACAAAAAAAAAGGUCAUUGACAGGCCAUUUCUAGCAAAACUUUAGGUUAUGUAAAAGACAAACAGAAAUCUUAGUUUUAUUAUGUGCUAACCAGACAAGAACUCCAGCCAAGAGCACACCAAAAGGAUAAAGCUGGCCAACAGGAAAAGGAAAAACAUUACAGUUGGAAACCAAAAAGGAAUGGUAGAUUUUGCACAGAGAACGUAAGCACAAUUGCCGUUGCCAACAUUAUUCAUUUGUUUUCUUGCUUGGAUAAAGAUUAUGUAUAUUACGAAUUAUAUGAAGCUUACCAUUGCUAAUGCCAACAGCAUGCUUCCUUUUCUUGCUUCAACAACCUUAUGGACAUUACGGAUGCUGCAUAUAAGUGCAUCAAUCUCUAAAGAUAUUAUAGUCUCAGCCAGUCAAAAUGUUUUACCAAACAGUAUGCUUCAGCAAUAUAAAUUUCACUCUCAAACUAUCACUAUUGAUUAACAUAUCCACUGAAUAUUAAGCAGAGAUAUACUCACAGGAAUUUACUUCUAAUCUGCUUUUUCUAUAUUGAGUUUACCGAAGAAAGAAUCUCAGUUAUCACUAUGCUCAAAAUCGGCAUUUUACACCAGUGAGAUAUUAUUAUUUGAAUUCCCAUUCGAAACUUGAAACUUCCCAACCAAACAUGCCUUAAAAGACCAGCAAAACAUAUCUACCUUACACGAGUUAUAAAGGAAACUCCACUAAAUAAGAUAAAUUAGAUGAAGUUUGCCGAAACUUUUGCUACAGAACUUUGCAAACAAGUUGAAAAGUAUAACCUAGCACAUUCUCAUUAGCUUAAAAUCAAAUAUCGAAAUAUAAUGAUUAAACCUCACCAUGAAAAAAAAAAGAGUUAAUACAGCCUAUUCAAACCUGAAAGGCAGAAAGGUGCUAGUUCAUACUCCGUAGAGGUGCAACAGAAAAGGAACACAUUGAUUGAAUUAACAACUAGAAAAUACAAAUACAUUUCAAGAAACAGAGUGAGAAAGGUUCAUCACACACAGAGUGCUCACUCACGUAAAGUGGGAACUCAUGUCACCGUUGUAGCAUCCUAAGCAACUGAGGCCAUGACUAGUAGCAAUAUAACUUACAAAUUGAUAUUUGAUGUGAUGAAAGAAACUUACUUGGACGAAAUAGUUGGGAUCACGCCAAAAAUAACCAUAAGAAACAGCACAAUGCCGUAAACGGGGGUUUCUGAUGGAAGAACCAUGAAAAAAAAGAAAAAAAGAAAAAGAAAAAGUCAAGAACAGGACCACUGCAUACAGUAGCUUUUCUAUGUGAAAAUGGGAAAUAUAUAGCACUAUAAAGAUAAUCAGAUAACUUAUAAGAAACCGCCACAGUCGGCAAAGCAUGGAAUACCAAAAGGGACGUGUCCAGUUGCAAAAGAAUUUAGCAAGAAUGGAAAAACAAUGGCAAUAACUGUUUUGCAUUAUAGGUUUGUUUUACCUAGCAGGUUAGUUGGGAAGUACAAAUUUCCGUUUAUUUCCUUCAUGACUAUUUUACUGAAAUGACUACAUGGACAACUUUGUGGUUGUUCGCAUGUCUAAGACGGAAAAAACGAAAGAAAGAUGACUCGAAUAUAUCAGAAUUUCCACUGUACUAGAUCUUCAUGUUUAUUAGAAACAAUAUAAUGUAAGAUGCAUAAGAAACUCUGAUAACCAAUGAGGAAAAUGACAUUAUAAUAUAUUUAAUUCUACCGUCUAGUUUAUGAAUUACUGCAAUAACAUGCAUGCAAGCAAAUUGAAAAAAAUAUAACUAACGAAUGCUUUAUGUAAUUAUAUAUAGAAGUUAAAUUGAAGUCAAAGCUCCAAAACCAGCUUUGAACCGUUUAGUUGAAUGUGACUAAUCAAAAACAAGACCUGCUCACUAGUUUCCACAUGGAAGCCAGAAAAAAAAAAAAAAAAAAAAGUCUGUUAUUUUGGGAUGGGAUAAAUUUGUCCAGUUCAAUUAUAGAGACAAGAUCAUCUAUGUUAAAAGUGUAUAUCAAGUAUCAACUCUAAUUGUUGAACUUACAACUAACUGAUUCAAAAUGUUUGACUUCCUUCUCGUGAAAUGUUAUCCUUAUAAAUACACCAUGUCACUGCCAAAUGUAUAUUUCAAUUAUUGGUUGAAUGUUAUUCCUAAUACAUUGUGAAAUGGUUUACUAGGCUGAACCAACCAGCAACUUAAAUUGUAGUUGCAUGAUUUCACACCCAAAAGACAUCAGCACAUUAUGUACAAAGAGACAAGCAUCGGCUCUAAUAAUUUAUCUGUACUGGUAUAAGUCGGUAAUGGUUGGAUCAAAAUUAACAAACAUUGAUACGAGUCAGCACAAGUGUCAAGGAUGGCCUGGGAUAUAAACGGUAUCAUGGUUGCUGUGAUUGAAGAAUUCUUACGACAAGUCAGAACAUACCAGGAAUGAGUGGCACCCAACUUAAAAGGGGAAUUGACUUUCGAAAAUCUUGUGCCCACCAUUCAGCUCCUAACAAGAGAAGGCAAAAUAUUGGACCCAUACAACAUCAUUAAAAUAAAUAUUUUGCGCAAGAACUAUACAAAAAACUUUUAGUCAAACGAUGUCCAAGAAACAAAUGAGCUCAAUCUAUAGGAUGUUUGCAAAAUAGCAGGAAAGUACCUGUUAAAAAUGUCAGAAAAUGGCAGAUAUAAAUCAGCAUGAGGCCUUCUGUAGGUCCAUUUAUUAUAGGAAGAAUGAGUGUAUUCGUAAAGAAGCUGGAUAAAGAGCAAAAUAGUGUCAACAUUAAAGCAGAUAGAGCCUCCCCAAAAAGGGGGCGGAAGUUCAAAAUGAAAGUGGAAAGAAAGCACAAAUUAAUUUAUCAAGAAUGUCAUGUAACGUGCAUUUAUAGGAGCUACGUGCAAAUUUUCAGGGAAAAAAAACAAUCACAAGUAUAUAUAAAAGUCACAAAAUGCAGAUAACUUUUAACCAGUUUAACUACCCCUGCCUCACUAGACAACUAAUAUGUUAGGUGCAAAUCCAUAAGAGGAGUAGUUACUUGCACAACAAAUAUGACAUUUGUACAUGCACCCAGAUCCAUCUGACUUGUGAAAUCUAGGCUAAACUUCAAAAAAGGGCUCUGUAGUAUUUCACAUUGAUGCCCUUUAUUUCAGUUUGUAUUACUUUAAGUGCCAUGAGGUUGCUAUUCUAUUUAUCGUAAUCGUUAAAAUUCAGGUUUGGAUCAGAUUGUGAACAUGUUUCAGUCCGGUUCUGAUCCAAAAUUGACUAGAGACCUGGAUGUGAAUCUAAAUUCUGAUAGUAUUUUUUUUAAUAGAGUUUAGAUCUAAUUCUGAUCAAAACUCAACCAAACUGUUAGCACAGCCAAAACCCAAUCGGUACUUAAAUUUUUGAGGAGCUGACAGAAGGUCCAUAACCAGAAUGGUAAACUCGGGGCAUCUAAGAGAUACAGACAAAACCACAGGGUGCUAAUGAGGAAAAGCACUAUAUCGUAUGGCCCUUUCUUCAAGUUUAAAACUAAGAGUUUGUAAAGGCAUUUAUGCCUUGCUAUAUGUGUAUUAGUUUGUAAAGCUAGGAGUCAUGCUCAAAAGCAAAACAGUUUCAACUUGGACUUUUUUGUUUUAGGUCGUUCAAAAGCCCCAUCGCUUCCGAUCAAGCUAGGAGUUCUAUAUUUUUGGGUUUCCAAAUGUCCGAUUAAAACAUAGAAUGCAUCCAAGACAGACAAGCACAAAUUCAAUCCUUCGAUCAAUUAUCCUAGUAUUUCCACAGACUAUUGGUUGUAACUUAUGCUCGAAGUUUAGAACUAUAUAAAAUAACGAGUAAACAAGUUUUAAUCAUCUGUGUGAACCUAAUGCCGAAUAUUUAGAUAUUAGUUCCAAAUUCUCAACCAUGAUAAGAAGUCAUACAGCCUUUUAUGCAAGGUUUAAAGUGUCGUGGCACGAAAGCGUGCCGCUGUCUACCUGGCACGGUACAGCACCGGCACGCUUCAAUGCCGACACAUGGCACGCUUGCGUACCGAUGGAUACGCAUGGCCUCCCACUGGCAUGCUUGCGUACCGAUGGAUACAUAUGGCCUCCCACUGGCACGCUUUGGCACGGACUUGUUUCAGUUUUUCUAGUUCCAAUAAGCUCUUAUAAUGUUAUUUUGUUUAAUUAAAUAAUUAUGAAUAUUUGCUAUAUAUGGCUUACUAUACUUAUCAAUCAAUUAACAUACUUAUAAAUUUUUUUCUAUAUAAACUACAACUAUACUUGAUGCAGAAUAUAAUUUUUACAGAUUAGAAUUUUUAAAAUGUAAAGAUAUCUUUGUUUCUUUCUUUCUUUUGACCAUAUUAUAGUCUUUCUUUUAUAAAAUACGAAAAAAAAAAUAAUAAUAAAUAAUUUUAAAAAUUAUUUAAAAAUUAUUUUAAAAAGUAUUUAAAAAAUUAUUUUUUAAUUAACUUUUUAAAAAAUAAUUAGAUCUAUCAAAAAAAUUAAGUAAUAAAUUAUAUGACAAAUAAAUUAAAUAAAUUUAAGUAUCAAUUGAUUUAAUUUUGUUUUUAAUUUUAUCAGUAUUUUCAAUCUUCUAACGCAAAAAUAAAAUUUUAUAUUUGAUAUGCCUCAAAAUUUGCUUAUUAAGUUCGAUUUGUUCCCCUAAUUUGCCAAAAAUUUCGCAGCGCAACAAAUUUUGAUAAAAUAAUUUUUUUGACUUACCUAAUAAGUAGAUUUUCGAUUUGUAAUGCCUUUGAGGGUGUGAGAUAUUUAGGAUGCUCCUUGGUACCCCAAAGAACAAAAUAAAAAAAAAAAAGCAAAAAGCAAAAAAAAAGCAAAAAAAAAGUGUGCCGGCACGGCACUAUGCCGUGGCACACUCCUGCGUGGCUGUGUAACUUUGUCUCGUGCGAUACUCCGGAGUGUGCCGCGGCAUGGAGGGGGGUCCCGGGUCUAAGACCCCCCUGUACCAUGCCCUUUUCUUGGGGGCACGGUACGUGCCGCCCCGUGCCGUACGACACGGGGCGGCAUUUUAAACCUUGCUUUUAUGCAGUAUGUCGUAAUAAGUAGAAAAAAAUUCUCAAACCACAAAACUAAUAAUAAAUAGCCACACAGCCUGCUCCAUGAAGAGCCAAGCAUGAGGCUACGUGCAGUUCACAAGAAUGAAUAUGAGAAACAUAAUAAGAAACUCACUGUUCCCAAGUGGCCAGAUAAAAUGGGAUAGCUGCAGUCACCCAGAACCAGAAUGUGUUCCUUCCGCACAUUGCAGUGCUUCCAAAAGCCAAAGCUUCAAACUAUCAAAUCUAGAGUGUAAUUCAUCAAAAAAAAACUCAGAAAAUCAUAUAAAAUGUAAAGAUAGAUGGACAAGAAGGGACAUACAGCACAAGCAAGUGCAUCACAUCCUGCUCAACAAUCACAAAAGUUCAAAGAUUAAUGAGAUGGCUCACAUGCAGCUUGCUACAAAAAAGUUCCAUAAGAAAGUAACUUACCAUGAUCGAAAAGUUCUCCUAAAGGACUUGAUGAGUUAGUACGUCUUGCUUGUUUACCAUCAACAGCAUCGAAAGUCUGGUAUGGUAUUUAAAUUAUGCAUGUCAGUACAAAAUGAACCAGUUCGUUUCGACAGAAAAGAAAGUUGAUUACAGUCCUUUAAUAAGCAAAGGUGGUCAGUUUCAACAUUUUAACUACUAGCAAAACAUAGAAAUUCACAGGAGAAGAGAGAACAAAGCAAUUAAAAAAAGAAGACAGCCUUCUUCCUCUCCCCUCCCAAGCAAAACCCCACCACAAGGCACCAAAAAGGAGAAUGGAAUAAAAUAAGCACAUCAACAGUACAUUGUCCAAAAUCUACAAGGCAUGCCCAACACAAAUAGUUCCGUUGUUUAAGGUCUCUUCAUUCAUAAAUAUUUUGGAUUUCUAGUUUUUUGCAUAAAAAUAAUUAGUGACUCAAGAAAACGCUUUUGUCAACAAAAUUCUUUUGGAAGUCCACUAUUAAGUUUAAAACCAGUCAUUACGCAUUUAGCUCAGUCAUCAGAAAUCAUUAUCAGCGGUUAGCAAUGUUCCAAAAAGCGGUCCAAACAGCAUAUGUGGCCAAAAUGCCAGCACAUAUGCGGCCGCAGAUGCGGUUUCUUUUUUUAAGAUGGGAUUAAAAUAUAAUGUUGAAUGGGAUUGUUUAUUUAAUAAUUAUACAUAUACAUAUAACUAUUUUUAUAAAAGUUUAAUUAAUAAUAAUACAAAUAAAUGCAAUUAUCUUUAUAUAAAUAUAACUAACUAUGUCUCUUCUUAUUUUAGUAGGUAUUAUUCCUAAUCUAUCUAAUAAUAUGUUUAUAAAUAUUAAUGAACAAUUUUAUAAUUGUUAGAUGUUGUUACACUGGAUUUUUUUUUAAGUGUUGACCUCUUAAAUGAUGUGAAUGACAAUUUAUUGAAAAAAUUAUUGUUCUUCAUAAAAGUUUAGCAUAUCUCUUUUCAGAACAUUAAUUUUUGUUUGACAUAUUUUAUGAUUUUGCAUCAAAAUUCUAUUUAUUUCUCUAUUUAAUAAAUAAGAGUAAAUUACUAAUUGUUAAUUCAAUGAUGAGGUCCUUUACGUGAAACUAAUUAUUUUAAUUUAUAAAUUCUGAAUUGUUACUUUAGUUAUUUAGCUUUGUUAGGAAGCAUUUAUAUUUAUUUUUAAUGCCUACAAAAAUUUUAUUAAUAUUUUAGUAGAUGGGCCGCAUAUGAGUCCACAUAUGCGCUAUGCAGUAGGUAACCGCAUGAAUACUGCAUACCGCUUUUUGGAACAUUGGUGCUUCCAUGAGAUAAGCCUUUGGUUGAUGAUCAGAAGAGCAUAUGAUUAUCACAAGAAUGCUUAUCGCAAGAAUGAAACCAACCAUCCAAUAAUCAAGGAGAUUUAGAUGAAUUACAUGGAAAAAGGCUCCUGAAAAGGAUUGCAGCAACCAUAAAUGAAAAGCAAUAAACACAUUUGCAAAUAAUGUAUCUUAACAGUCAUUCAUAUUCUUCUUUGGAAGCGAUACUUAUCCUAUAAGCUUAUACUUGACUUUUCAAAUUGCUAAUUUACAAACAGUUAGGCUAACAGAUUGAGACCAGUUCUCCGUUGUACAAGUUAAUAAACCACCACUGACAAAUAAAACAAUAUGGGCCUGUAGCGAUGAUCUUCACAGACCUGAUAUAAGAAGAGAAGCAACCCAUGAGCAAGGUGGACCCAUCUUGGAGGUGCUGUAUCUAGGCGAGGUGAAUAUAUCUGUGAAGAAAGUCUUAUGUAAGAUGGAAAAUAUAGUUUUUUAAAAAUAAAACAAAUUUCAGUGCACAUUUAGCAUUAUUUACGUGUUUUCUCUUUUGCUCAAGCUAUUGGAGGUUAAAAGUAGAUGGAUUUCUUUAUACCAAUACAGUAAGACUCCAACCACUUGAAAUUAUAAUGGCAAAGUAACUGCAUAACAAUACAGCUAAGCUAAUUUCCGCAUCAAAUAAGGUAAAAAAGUGAUACGUUUUUAUUUGACAUGUCAGAAUAUUUUGAAUAUAUUGCAUAUGAGUUGUAAUAAAUAUAAAGGCAAGAAAGGAAAAAAGAGUAGAUGCAUCAAAAAUAUAUAUAUUUUCUGUAAGAGCUACUUACAUAGCCAAGAAGUGCCGAUAUGACUAGAAACAAAAAAGCUGUAAGUGUAAUCUGAAAAUACAAAAACAGUAUAAGGAAGCAGUUCAACAAAAAUAUGUGAACCUAAAGAUGGUUCAAAAGAGGCAGAAUAGAAGAAUUGCUUACCAUGUUUGGUCUAGAGGUGGAUCCAAGCAUGCAAACAUAAGAGAAAAAGAAAGUUAAUACACAGAAUGCUUAGUAAUAAAUCAACUUAUAGUACCAAAGGUUUGAAAUUUCAUCAUCAUCAUCAUCAUCAUUCAAGCCAUUCCCCAAGAUAUUUCGAAGUCCAAUAAACUAAGUUGGUUCAGACUAAGGAUACGCUAAAAGUUUGUUUGGCCCUGUUGUAAGGUGUAGUGCUGUUUUGAUGAAUUGAAUAGUGCAAUUAAGAGACACACUACAUUAGAAUACCCCGAACAGAAAUCUGCCACAAAAUCAGAAGCAUGAGCUUCCAGCUUCUGCUUUUGAGGCUCAAAAUCUCAUUUCUGCUUCCUGCUGCAGCAGAAGCUCCAAAUGUUGAUCUUCACCAAAUUAGUCUAUUAGAGGCAGCUGCAGCUAGAAGCAGAAGCAGGAUCAAACAGGCCCUCAACACUCAAGCAAACUAGCGAGUUCCCACUCAAGCAAGUAAAGAAGCAACCAAUUGAGCAAACGAGGAUCGUGAAAAGGAAACUUACGGCAUCCAAAGAGGGAAAAGAGUGACGCAUCGGCUCCAAAAGGGUUGUAGGAUAUACUUCGCAACCAAGGAGUUGUCCACUCCACUGUACUUGUACUUUUUCAGCGUCGCAACCCCAUGGUGCCCUAUAUAACCCAUCUACGACACCCCAACAAAGAGGAUCAGAGCUCAGUUACGAGUGCUCGAACACGAGAUCGCCAUGGAAUUUAGGGAUUACCAGGUCGAUAGCACCCUCCUCGAAGCUCUCAAAAUCGAAAUCGUCGCCACCGAUCGAGAGAACGAAGGAGCGAGCGGAGGCGAGGUGGAUCCGCGAGAGGGAUCGGGAAACCCUAGGAUCUCGGUUCGGGGAUCGUCGAGGUGACGAGGGACGGGGAGAAAGGAGGAAGACGACGAGAGCAGGUGGAGGGGAAGGACGAGAGCGGAUCCAUAAUACAAAUGGGCCGAAUAUAGGCCGAAUAUGGGCCUAACAUGGGCUUAAUAUUGACGGUUUUGGGGUGUGGAACUCCACAUAAGCCCAUCAUGUAGUGAGGAAUGUGGGCCGUCUCCAAUUGCGCGCAAAUUCGUUGGAGAUACAUGCAGUUAAAAAUACAACAAUUACAACUACAUACAUCUCGUUUGGUUAGAUAUAGUAGAAAGCGCUGUAACUACAAAUAAUUUAUUUAGUUGCAUGCAGUUGAAAAAUAAUUUUUAAAAUUUUAAAAUUUUAUAUAUAAUGGUAAAAUUAUCUCCAACGUAAAAAAAAAAAAAAAUUAUUUUAUGUUUAAAAAUAAUUAAGAAACUAAGUUCAACUUUCGUUUAAAAUUUCUCUUUCCAACUGCUGCAAUUAGAACUGCAGCUAAUUUGGGUUGAAUCUCCUCCUGUAAUUGCUACUGUAGCAGUUGGAAUGAAACAUAUCAAAUCAAACACCGAAUUUGAAUUUGCAUACAGUUACAACUAUUUUGUAGUUACAACUACAUGCAACCAAAUGGCUCCUUAAGUGAGUCUGCGUUGAGGCAGUUUGGUGAGUCAAAUGAUUAAUCUUGCAUCCAAAUUUUAAGACAUUUAAUUUAAAAUGUUUUUCUGUCCAUAUCUUAACACCGUAUGUAACGACGGGAUCAAAGAAAAGCCUAAUCAAGUUGGACGAGGAGCCUCUCGUUUUCAGGGUUUGUUUUUUUUUUCUUUCUCUCAAAUUGGCCAGGGCUCAAGCAAGAGAGGACAAAAAUUCGGUGGAAUGGUCUCCAACGUGAAAGUUGGCGAGACCGCCCCUUUAGCCGUCCAUCACAUAAACAACAUGUAUCUCAAAACCGCGUAAACAAACUGCCCCCACAAAAUAAAUAAAUAAAAAAAAAUUUUAUAAAACGAAAGUAGAGGGGGUAAUAAUUUGUUUUGGUCUUGUUCGAUAUGUUAGUGUAAUUUAAGAAGCUGUUUGGUUUCUCAAAAAAACAUAUAAAAAAAUUUUUCAAAAAAUUCAUGAAUUUUGUUUAGUUUUUCGCUGUUUGAUUUUAAGAAAAAAUAGUUUCUAAAAAAAAUAAUAUUUUAUAAAAAUUAGUAUUUUAUUUUUCAAAAGAAAUCAAAAAUAAAAAUAAUUAUUUUUUAUAAAAUUUUUAAAAAAUUAAAAAAAUAAGUUUUUCUUGGAACCAAAUGGAGAGAAAAUUUAAAAAAAGAUAUUCGAAGAAAAAAAAUUCAUAUUUUUUUAAGGAACUAAAGAGUCCCUAUUAAAGAUGAAAAGAAUUCUUUUUUACUUAAAUUUUUAGUCCAAAUCAAGCUAAAAGAGAAGUAAAAUAGAAUGGAGAGCGAAAUGUACUACACCUCUACACUAAACAAUAUCUUUUUUCAAAAUAAAAAAUAUUCCUCAUUCUAUUAUGGAUUUCAUGAUCAGCAUUUGCUUGUGCAUAAGUAGGCUUAUAUAUACAUCACCAACCUACUAGAAUUAUUUGUAAAUCGGGCAAAUUGCACUUUCAGUUCUCAAAUUAUAAGCUGCGUGACACUUUGAUCCUUAAAUUUUAAUUUUUUACAAUUUCUAGCUUGAAUUUUUUGAAUUAUUACAAUUAAGUCUCACAAUUUAAUUUAGUUGACUAUAUUAUAACGGAUUAUUAAUAUAGAAUUGAUAUGAUAUUUUAAUUAUUGUCACAUCAUUGAUUACAUUACUUUCACAUCACUUAGAUUGUGGGACUUCAUUGUAAUAAUUCAGGCAGUUCAAGUGAGAAAUUAUAAUAAAUUAAAAUUUAAGAACCAAAAUGCCACACGUAUUAUAGUUUGAGGGCCAAAAGUGUAAUUUAUCCUUUCUAAAUCCCCUCUGUUUCGACUUCAUUUUCUUUUUCAAGUAUUGUUAGAAAGGAUAAUAUCUAAUAUAUACUUCAAAAUUACCAAAAUAUCUAAUGUAUCUUUGAUUGACCAAAAUAUCUUUAUUUAUUUUGUAAUUUCUUCAAUUACAACCUCAGGAUUUGGAGUAGUCAUAUUAUAUAAAAUAUAAUAGGAUUAAAUCUCUUAAUUUGACUAUAACAUUUUAGGCAGUGGUUAGGCAUGAGAAGUUAAGAGGGCGGUGGUUAACCCCAAGAGAUUAAGGGCGUGUUUGCUUCGCUUCUUUUUUUACCAUGGAAUCGAAAUCGGAAUAGAUGAAUCCGUUUGUGAGUGUUUGGUAUGCGGGAGUCCCAUUCCGAUUCCGAUUCCGAUUCCGAUUCCCAAGUGGAAUGGGAAUUUUCCAAUCACCUCUUUUUCCAAUCCAGCCUACGAGGGCGGAUUGAAAGUUGAAUCCGAACAGAAUUGAUAUUUAUUCGAAUUAAAUUUAUUUUUUCAACUUUUUUAAUUAAAAUAUGAGUUUAAAUUUAGAAAUUAAAUUUAUAAUUUUAAAUUUUAAUUUGAAUUUGAAUUAAAAUUUAAAAUUUAAUCAAUUAUUUUGAAUCUAACUUAUAAAUUUGAAUUUAAAUUAAAUUUGAAUUUAUAUAAAAUUUUAUUCAAAUUUUAUUUAAAACUUAAAUUAAAUUUAUGGAUUCAAAUUAAAAUUUAAAUUGUAAUUUUAAGUUUGAAUUUGAAUAAAUCAAAAAUUUAGUUUUAUAUUUUGAAUUAUCCACUCAACUUCAAAGUUUAAUUUUUUAAAAAAAAUAUAUAUUUAAAAUUUUGAUAUUAUUUCAAAAUUUUGAUGUAAAUUUUUAAUAUUUAAUUUCAAUUUGAAUUUAAAUUAAUAUAUUAUAAAGAUAAAGUAGCAUAUUAAUUUGAUUACGUUUUUUAUAUCCAUCUGAACCAAACACCGACAAUGAAAAUGAAUUAUUCCGAUUUCGAUUCAGGUAACAAACCAAACAGAAUUAGGUAAUGAGUCAUUCCGAUUCCGAUUCCAGCUUAUUUUGAUUCCGAGUCCGAUUCUGAUUUCGACUUCAAACCAAACGUGCCCUAAAAGGAUUAAGUGUAUUAAGAUUAGAGUGGUUCAAGGAUUGUCACGCCCCGGAUUACUCGUUUCCCCGUGCACGCCAACAAACCCGCCGUAUACAUAGAAAUUUUUUCCUUAUACGAAGCAAAGCUGUAACUGUACCUGUUAUAAUACAACACUACAACCAGUAGUAUAGAGCUGCUAGGAAAAAGAACAUGAGUAUAUAAUAAAAAUGGAUCAGUACAUACACAGUAUCCUGGUACAAAAACACUCGCUCCAGCGAGGUAUAACAUCAGUAUGUAAUAAACCAAAAACUACAACUACCUGUAGCUGGUACUCCACUAGCUUUGGCUCGUCUGGUAGGACUCUAACUCGCGACGCCCUUGCCACGAUCAGGAUCAGCAGCAGCCGACGACGACGGCUCUGCAAAACGAAAAGGAACAAUUGGGCGUGAAAACUACUGUAAAAACAAGUAGUCCUCAGUGGGUGCCGCCCUCAACAUCAUCGGUCCACCCAAUAAGUCUACAGAAGGGAGCUGGGAUAGUACAUAAUGCUGGAACAAAAUCUACAGCUAAGAAUCAUUAUACUAUCAUACUCUAACACUAACAAUCUAUAGAAAAUGUCAAUCUUAAUGCAAUCUUACUCAAGACUGUAACCGUACCCGUCUCAAGGACUGUAAACACACCCGUCCCGCCUGUCGAAGCUAAAGCUACCUCUACACUAAGCAGUCAGUGGAUAGCAAGUCCAAACAGGACACCUCGACAUCAACGCAGAAGCACUAAGCCCGACUCCGGAGUGGUACUCGUGGGGCAACCCAACCGAGUAUGCAAGCGUAUCUCUAUCGAGCUCAAUCAGGCUCUCGCAGGCUAUAGUCAAGUAUACCGGGUCCAACUGGUCUAACAACCAACGAGUCACGUGCCCUCGGCACAAUCUGAUGCCAAAACGGCAAUCUGAAUCCACCGUAAACCCCGACGGCUCCCAACAGUCCGGAACAGUCUGAACACUACUGUAAAAAUAGGUUCGGCAUCCCAGCACGAGCGUAACAGCAAUCUACACUACCUAGGGUAUCCACCACGCUGAUACUGCGGUGAUACCAAAUAAUAACGGCUCCUAAAGCUAAAUCUGGUAGUGUAAGCAUAUGACGAAUUAUAUUCGCGGAUUUUCUCCUAAGUCAAAUCUAAGUCCACAUGUAUAAUUUAUCCACCAAUAAUACUAUGCUCCAAAUUCAGUUUAGAUGUCAAAGACAUGAACAAUCCACGAAUUCGAGCUAUUACACAUGAAAUGCAUAACACAAAAUAUGUAUGCCGUUAACCGAGACUUUAGGAGUAGAAAUCCGAUGAUAAACCCACCUCAAACGCUAAUCCAACACUGGCGUAACAUCGAAACGGCGGAAUCACAUGCUCGCUCGAUCUCCCAACGCAGCCACCACAACGCUUGUGUGCUCGAACGGCUCUGCGGCGCGACGUCGGCGACGAAACAACUCCACCCGAGAAUUCCUCCACACUCGGUCCAAGCUAAAGAGAGAGAGGGAAGGAAACCAGCAGAAAAACUCUCCUUCAGCUCCUUUCUACGCAAAUAUAUAAGAAGAGGGUGAUACAAACGAGGUGAGAAAAGACCAAAAAAGCCCUCUCACCUACCCUGGUGUAUCGGUACACGAGCAAUUGUACCGGUACAAAUGGCAACCCGAGAGCAGCUGCGCGGAAACAGGCAAAGUGUACCGGUACACCUCCGAUGCUGUACCGGUACAAAAUGUGUUCCGGUACACCCCUGAUGCUGUACCGGUACAACAAGCAGAAAAAUCUGCAAUUACAGUUUCCAAAGCGAACUCCUGCUCUCGUGUCCCCUACUGAGUCCUUUUUGCGUCUAUUUCACGCCAACGAGACUCGGACUUGUCCCGACACUCUUCAGAGCUGUCGACAAGCCUCAACUGCUGUACACCAGGGAUACCACAAGGAUAGAUGACCUCCUUCGGAAGUAAAGCGUCACAGUUGGUAUUAUAGUCAAUCACCAGCCAGAAAUAUAAAAUAAAUAUUUGGUUGAGUUAAGGUCAUACAACGAGCAGAGUAUAGCUCCCAGGUUGACAAUCGUUAUGUGUGGAGCGUAGUUCCCUUCAAGGACAGCUAAGACUAGCGAGAUGAGUCUCACAUCAUUUGAGACUUGUGACUUGUGACUAUGAUUGAACCUGACGAGAAUAUUAGGACUUAAAGAGAGAGAAAUAUGAUAUUUCCAGAAUUAAAAAUAGAAUUAAACCUCUUAACCUGUCAUAGUUGUUGGAUGCCGAUCGUCUCGACCCUUGACCUAGUCAAAGAUCUUCCUCGGAAAGCGCGUCGGGGUUGAAACGGCUCCGAAAGAUGACCCUUGAAGUGUGCGCCCUUUUACUGAACAAGCGAUUCGGCUUAUGAGGGAUCCAAUCAGCCGGGUUCGAAAACCUUCACUAUAAAACUGGUUCGGCUAGAAGAGCCGAAUGUACGAACUGUGCAGGGAUCAAUGUCGGCAGAAGUGCCGAAUGGAAGAAGUAUACAGUAACUGGUCGGUUGAAAGAGCCGAAUGCCUUUAUAUAAUAAUAAAAAAGAGUGUGCCCGAAGGGCAUACAGACUCAGAAAUAUAGUUUACAACAGAGUGAUGCCCGUGGGGCAGACAGACUCUGCAAAUGUAGUCUACAACGGAGUUAUGCCCGUAGGGCAGACAAACUCUAGGGUUCUACUUAGCGAACUACUCCUAGGAAAGCAGUAAAUGCGGAAAAGAAAAAGAUUACAUUUAAACUACUCCUAGAAAAGCGAUAAAAUGCAGAGGAAAUAAGGGUGGUCUUCUCGUUCAGGAUGGAGAAAUACCCCUAUUGCAGGCUUUGAAAUUACUAUUUAUAGUAACAUCAACCCACAUUAUUGGUUGGUUGGGGGAGUAGUUGUAACCAUGAUCGUGGAAGUUAUGCCCAACUUACGUCCCAUUUCACAUGAAAGUUAUGCCCGACUUCACAUGGAACUUACGCUCCACUUCUCAACCGUUCCCGUCUAAACGCUUUUGGCCUUCAGGCGCCUUAUUGCCGACUCCUGAUGUACCACGUGUCCUUAUUUCUUCGGCUCAUACUUGGGCUAGGUCGGCGUGUUCAUUUCAAAUUUGGCAUCAACAAUGCCUCCUCAAUAGUCUUUCGAAUGAACAUUCGGAGACUAUUGGUGCCAAAUCGACUACUCAAUAGCAUAGCCGAGACCCAAGCUUUAGUUUCGCUUGUCUUGGUCGGCUUAAAGAAAACGACUCUUUAUCAUUCCAGCUGCAUAUACCUCGGCUCCAUCAGCCGAUUCUUACUUUUACUCGAUUGAUUCGGCUCUUCUUGAAUCGAAUGUUCUUCUAUCAAGGAUUUCUCCUUGAAGAAAGUGGCUCUUUACCAGCCAUAUAUACCUCGGCUUCUUUAGCCGAUUCUUCAGUUUCACUUUAUUGGCUCGGCUUUUUUUGAACCGACUGUUUUUCUAGCAAGAAUUUCUCCUUGCCUUUACUUUGAUUUUUAUAUCGGCUCCAUUGCAGCCGAUCGUCCUCACUUUUCUUCUGAAAUUGCUCAUAUUGGGCAACUCUAACACCUAGAUCAAAUAUGUUAGAAAAAUACUUAUUUUCAAAAUAGUCUUUUAUCUUAAAAUGCAGACCAUUUAACGCCAUUUUGGCGAACUCUGAUUCCGGCAUUUUCAUAAAGCACCGGGUUUUAGCUAUUUUGAAACGGUUCAAAUACUCUUUGACCGUUUCACCCGACAUUUGUCGGUAUAAAGCUAAGUCGGCGACCGAUAAUUAUGGCUCUGACCUAUAGAAUCGCUUAUGAAAUUUUUUUUCUAAUUCGUCCCAAUUUUGGACAGAAUUGGUUGAUAAACUUGUAUACCAAGUAAACGUCAUUUUAGUUAACGACGUGUUAAACAAUCUUAAUUUUAAAAAUGGAUCUGUCGCGGCUUCCCUGCACUGUGCCGUGAACCGUGCCACAUGUUUGACCGUGUUUUCAGUCUCGUCACCAGAAAAUUUAUCAAACUUCGGCAUUUUCCAGUUUGCCGGGUAUGGAUGCUCUGUGUCUAUAUUUGCAGGAUAAGGUGAUCUAAAUAUAGGCCGCAUUGCCGGCCUUGCGCCUACUCCAAAAGCAUUUCGGAUGGCUUCUUCGAUUUGCGUAUAUAUUUAAUUAUUGUUUUCCUGCAAAGGAACUUGUGCUUGUGCUGCAUUUGGUCCUUGUAAUGGCCCGAAGUUUUGUAUUAUGAGAUUUGCUCCUUGAAUAUUUGGAGCCUGCCCCCCAGCUCUAGCCCCUACAUUUUGGGGCUGGUAUGUUGCCAUCGACGGAGGUAGUGGCAAUCCCCAUGUAAUUUCCGGCUGUUGACCGGUAUUGACGACGGCUGGUCUGUAAACCGCUUGAAAUGGUGCCCCCUGGUAUUAGGACUGUCCAUUUACCGGUAUCGCAGGAUUUUGCAAUACUAGUGUCAUCAUAGGCCCUUGUAAGCCUGUCAUUGGUUGCUCAUUUCGAGUCAAUAAUUGCUCUAUUCGUGCAAUAUUUUCAUUAUAGGCCGUGAUGGCAGCCAGCACCGCGUCUAGUCGAGCGGUACUUUGAUGGAUAUUUUGAUCUAAAGUUUGCAGGAUUCGGCUCAUCUGGCAGAGCGCCUGAGUUAGACUCGGCUCUUGAUGAGCCGACUGUCCACUAGUUUCUCCUUCAAUUGGCAAAACUGCUUGACAUUCGCCAGCAUUGUCUGAAUCACUAGGUUGAUCACUCCCAGAAUUUUUAGAAACAACCCUAUUGCGCAAAUUCAUGGCAUUAUCAUCAACCAUAAUUUCAAUAAAAGUGUGAAUUUAUCUAAAAUCGAGUCCCACCGGGCGUGCCAAAAAUUGUUGGAUGCCGAUCGUCCCGACCCUUGACCUAGUCAAAGAUCUUCCUCGGGAAGCGCGUCGGGGUUGAAACGGCUCCGAAAGAUGACCCUCGAAGUGUGCGCCCUUUUACUGAACAAGCGAUUUGGCUGAUGAGGGAUCCAAUCAGCCGGGUUCGAAAACCUUCACUAUAUAACUGGUUCGGCUGGAAGAGCCGAAUGUACGAACUGUGCAGGGAUCAAUGUCGGCAGAAGUGCCAAAUGGAAGAAGUACACAGUAACUGGUCGGCUGAAAGAGCUGAAUGCCUUUAUAUAAUAAUAAAAAAGAGUGUGCCCGAAGGGCAUACAGACUCAGAAAUAUAGUUUACAACAGAGUGAUGCUCGUGGGGCAGACAGACUCUGCAAAUGUAGUCUACAACGGAGUUAUGCCCGUGAGGCAGACAGACUCCAGGGUUCUACUUAGCAAACUACUCCUAGGAAAAUAGUAAAUGCGGAAAAGAAAAAAAUUACAUUUAAACUACUCCUAGAAAAGCGAUAAAAUGCAGAGGAAAUAAGGGUGGUCUUCUCGUUCAGGAUGGAGAAAUACCCCUAUUGCAGGCUUUGAAAUUACUAUUUAUAGUAACAUCAACCCACAUUAUUGGUUGGUUGGGGAAGUGAUUGUAACCAUGAUCAUGGAAGUUACGCCCAACUUCUCAUGAAAGUUAAGUCCCACUUCACAUGGAAGUUAUACCCAACUUCACAUGGAAGUUACGCCCCACUUCUCAACCGUUCCCGCCUAAACGCUCUUGGCCUUCAGGCGCCUUAUUGCCGACUCCUGGUGUACCACGUGUCCUUAUUUCUUCGGCUCAUACUUGAGCUAGGUCGGCGUGUUCAUUUCAAAUUUGGCAUCAACAAUAGUAUUUUAAACAAUGGUUAGAUUCAAGAGGUUUACAGGGUUUAACAUGCUAUGGCUAAAAUAGUUUUAAGAUGGAUGACCCUUCUGGAAAGUGGAACAUCACAUAUACUCGUAAGUGUAGUGUUUACUAAUAGAAUUGGAAGCUUAGAAGAAUAUUUGGAAAAUAGAAAAGUAGGCGUAAAAAUUUCAAAUAAUUGUAAGGAUUAUAUAAGGAAAAUUUCAUUGUUAAAAACAUCAAAACUCACUUCCCUGGAAGGGCGCGUUUGGUUCAAAAUGAAAAAUAAAAUGGGAAUAGAAAUCAGAAUGAAUAGGGAUUGAAAACAAAAUGAUAAAAUCUUAUAAUAUGUUUGGUUCAGAAUAACAAUGGAAAUCUGUUAUAUGAAUUAAAAUUAAAAUACAAAAUAUAAAAAUGAUUUAAAAUUUGGUUUGCGCCUCAAAAUAUAAAAUUAAAUUUAUAAUUUAAAUUCAAACUAAAAGGUAAAUAUUAAAAAUUUACAUCAAAACAUUGAAAUGAUAAGCUAAAAUUUUAAAUGUAAUUUUUAAAAAAUUUUAAAAUUUAAAAUUGAGUGGACGAUUCAAAAUAUAAAACUAAUUUUUGAUUUGAUCCAAAUUCAAACUUAUAAUUAAAUUUAAAUUUAAAUUUAUAGAUCAAAUUCAAAAUACUUGAUUGGAAUUUAUAUUUUAAUUUAAUUUCUAAAUCAAAAUCCAGAAUUAAAAUUUUAAUUUCUAAAUAUAAAUUUAUAUUUUAAUUAGAAAUUAAGUUUAUUUUAAAUAAAAAUAUAAAAUAUAAUUAAGAUAUUUUUAUAAAGUUUAUUUUUUUUUUCUGCUCGAAUUCAAUUUUCAAUACGGCAUUCUAGACCAAAUUGAAAAAAAAAAUAGGUAAUUCGAGAGAUUCCUAUUCAUUCGAAAAUCGAAAUUGGAACGAGACUCCCGCAAACUAAACACACACAAACGGUACAUUUCAAUUUCAGGAUUAAAAAAAAAAAAAAAAAAAAAAAAAAAAAAAAAAAGCGAACCAAAUACGUAUAAUCUCGGCGCCGAUUAAGCACGUGAUUAUGAAUCAUUGCCGAGUUGUGAAAGCAGAGGGUGGUGGCACCCUUUAUCGGCAUGUUCUGCUGGAGACUGAGAAAUCUCUCGGACCCUCCUAUUCCGUGGGCCACAACUUAGCUUGUCUUAUCCAUUUUGUGCCCUGUUUUUAUUUUUAGGGUUAAUUACACCGGUAGUCCUCAACCUUUUCAUCGAUUUUUACUUGAGUCCCCAAUUCUUUUUUUUGCAAUUGAGUCCCUAAUUUUUUGAUUUUAUUACAAUUAGGCCCCAACCGUUAAAAAAACUGUUAAAGUUAACGGAAUCGCCUCGUCAGCGCCUUGGCAAUCUUUUGCAUGUCAAUUAGGUCCCUAAACUUUGCACAUUUUUCAUUUUAGUCCCUAAAAAAAUUCAAAAUUUUAAAUUUAAAUUCAAAAAUAAUAUUAAAAUUAAAAAGUUAAACUAAUGAGAAAUUAGAAUUUUGAAUUUGAAUUUAAAACUGAAUUAAAAUUUUGAAUUGAAAUUCAAAUUUUUAAUUUAAAAUUUUAAUUGAAUCUAAAUUUUGAAUUCAAACUUAAAAUUUUGAUUUUGAUUUUGAUAUUUCAAUUUAUAUUUAAAAUAAAAGUUUUGAAACCGAAAUUUAAAUUUAAAAUAUGAAUUUAAAUUUAAAAUCAUAUUCAAAAUUUUGAUUUUAAAUUUUAAAUUUGAAUUUAAAAUUUAAAUUUGAAUUUAAGAUUUGAUUUCAAUUCUAAAUUUGAAUUUAAACAUCGAAUUCAAAUUCACAUUUUGAAUUUGAAAUUUCAAAUCGAAGUUUGAAAUUAAAUUAGAAUUUAGAAUUCCAAAUGUGAAUUUGAAUUUAAAAUUUAAAAUUUAANAAAUUAAAUUAGAAUUUAGAAUUCCAAAUGUGAAUUUGAAUUUAAAAUUUAAAAUUAAAAAUUCAAAUUGAAAAAUUAAAUACAAAAUCGAAAUUUGAAUUCCAAUUUAAAUUUGAAUUCAAAAUCAAAAUUUAAAUUUAAAAUUUAAAUCUUAAAUUAAAUUUUUUUUUUGAAUUUAUAAAUUUAAUGGAUUAAUUACACCAUUGGUCCUCAAUCUUUGCACAAUUUUUCAAUUUGGUCCUCAAUCUUUUUUUUUUUUUGCAAUCCGCUGACACCGCGCCACCGUGGCGCUGACAUGGCGCUAACGUGGAGCUGACGUGGCAUUUUUCGUCAAUUUUAACAGCUAUCUAACGGCUGGGACUUAAUUGAAAUGAAAUUAAAAGAUUAGAGACUUGAUUGUAAAAAAAAAAAAAGGUUGGGAACCAAACUGAAAAAUAGUGUAAAGGUUAGGGACAAUUAGUGUAAUUAACCCUUAUUUUUAUCUUUUUCAAAUCUUUGUGACAAGUACCCAUCACCCAAUCGUUUAAUUCAGUGGCCAGAAAAGAAGGCCAGGGUAUGCCAACUGGCUUUCUUUUACGAAACAUGGGAGGGUCCUUGCAGGCCAUGAUGGAGAUUGAAAGAUGUUGUGCUU